CUCCUCUCAGGUGGACCCCAAAAUGCAUGAUCCCUCUCUCAAUCAAUCUGAUCUCCUAGGUCUCCCAAUCAAUCUCCCAGGACUCCCAGGUCUCCCAGGACUCCCAGGCCUCCCAGGCCUCCCAGGACUUCCAAUAUCCCUUGCUGCUGAAAAAACUUCAUCUAAGUCCUCCAACUCCAAAACUUCAAAGAAUGGGCAACUAGGUGAUAAUAGAGAAGUAGCCCAUCCAGAUUCUCCACCAGCAGGUUCAGCACCAUGAUUCCCAACCUGCCACCUAUCCUGGUUUCUGUUGGGUUCCUAUCCUAUUGGGCGUAACCCGUUUAAGUAUAAUAAGCCCAUUUAGGUCUUCUGAGUUGUGGUUUCCUGAACUUCUAUGUAUAUGGUCUCUUCCUUCUCCUUGAGAACUAUGUGAAAUAUUAAGAGAACUAUGUGAAAUAUUGAAUAUUUAAGUUUUAUCUUCUUUUCCCAUUUUCUCUGUAAUUUUCCCUCUUUCUUCUCUAACGAGAAUGUGUCAUGCAUAGACAGCUAGUCAGCUACGAGUACGGUAAUAUAAUACGAUUCAAUUAUUAGUUAAAUACAAUGAUUAUCGUUGAAACUCAAAAUUUCAGGACAAGGGAGUCGCAUGGAUUCAGAUAUAAAAAUUAUAUAUAUAUAUAUAUAUAUAUAUAUAUAUAUAUAUAUAUAUAUAUAUAUAUAUAUAUAUAUAGGGAAUUGUUAUUGGCACUUCAAAAAUCUCAUUCUACACUCCAAAUUUUCUAUGUUUGGAAAGAAAAAAACAUUUGUGAGGUGUGUAGAAUUAGAUUUUUGGAGUGACAAUAACAAUUCCCUAUAUAUAUAUAAAUUAUUAUUGAAUAUUACCCAAGGAUGAAAUAUGUGAUGUUUAUUAACUAAUGAAAUGUGCUUGAAAACUUUGAGUUUUAAUGAUAAGGACAAAAUAAAGGGUAAAGUGAAUAGUACCAGGAUUGACUUUUUAAUGUAAAAAUGUAGUUUUUCGUUAAAAUGAACAGUACCAGGAACUUUUCGUUAAAGUUCCCUUAUUAAUAAGCAUUUUAGGAAUAUCUCUGACUAUGUUUAUUAACAAUUCCCUAUUAUUGAAUAUUAUUGAAUAUAACCUUUUUCAUCCUUGGGUAAUAUUCAAUAAUAAUUUAUAUAUAUAAUAUUAUAAUAAUUUAUAUAUAUAUAUAUAUAUAUAUAUAUAUAUAUAUAUAUAUAUAUAUAUAUAUAUAGGGAAUUGUUAUUGUCACUCCAAAAAUCUAAUUCAGGGACGUCGUCGUUCUGUAAAUUAUUAAACCAUUCAAAUAUGCGAUGUUUAUUAAUAAGCAUUUUAGGAAUAUCUCUGACUAUGUUUUUAGAUUAACAUGCGCUUAGCAACAGAAAAUUGUCAUGGAGAAGCGGUUGCCCAAACUUAAGGCUGCAAUUUUGAGUGCUCAGAAGUGCUUGGAAGAUUGCAACUAUGUUAGGGGAUUGGUGAGUGACCAUCAUACGCGGAGUUGUUCUGCAUUUUUUAGUUGUACAGUAGUUGUAUAGACAGUCCAUUUUUCUACGUUAGCAGUACAAUUUCUUUUUGUUUUCAUCUUGUUUUUCCUCUCUUUAAUUGUCUGAACUGCAAUACGUUUCUGCAGCUUGAUGAAUGGUGGGACUCCCACCCACCAUAACCGUUGCUCAUCCCUAGAUAGGAGCAACCAGCAACAAUUGUUGUUGACUGGGUCUGAGUCGAUGGAUUAAAUGUUGCUGCCUGGCAUGAUCAUGUGAAGCAGCUCCUUGAAUUUUAUGAUCAGGAGCACUUGUGAGUAUUAUUCGAGUACUCAGCAAACAAGAUUUUAUGGGGAUCUAACUGGUCUUCCUGUUGGCAGUCCCACAUUGAUGGGGGAAGUCAACAAGGGUGGCUAUAAAUAUGAUUACGCUACUCUAACUAAUACCAAGGUUUUUUUUGGUAAAACCCCACACUUGACGGAUUGGGCAGGUGAUAAAGUUGGGGACUGUAUCGGUCUUAUUAGAGUGGCCAGUUGGGGACUCUAUAGGUCUUGUUAGAGUGGUCCCUGGGUCCGUCGAUCUCUACGAAGCCCCUUGUUUCAUUCAUUCUCGCAUUGCUAAAAACACAUUUUCAUUCAUUCUCGCAUCGUUAAAAACACCUACAAAGGCUUGGUAGAAACUCAAGCUCGACUUUAUGCUUGGAAGGUGAAUUCAUUAUCUCUGGCUGGUCGCGCCACUUUUGUUCAGUCUAUGACCUCCGCUGUCCAGUAUAUGCUUUGCAGACAAUAUUACCAAUUACCAUUACAGAUAACCCCGAGUGUCAAAGAUUUUCCCAAGGCAAGAGAAGUUUGGCAAAAGUUGGAAAGUAUAACCAAUAGUCAGACCACAUUAAUUUUCAUGAUUGGCUUCAUUUUAAUUUCACCACUAAAUCACUCAUAUUGGGGGGUUUAGAGUAGAUGUUAGUAUUUUCUGUUGCUUGUUGGUUUAUUUGGUAUUGGCGAAAUACAUUUAUUUUCGAGCAAGAUUUUGCAAUGUUAGAUGAGCCUACCGUCGAUAUUUGUGCAUAUUUUCAUGAAUUGUUAGCCUUCUAAUACUCACAAAAUUGAUAAAUGCCGAAAGACUGAAUCUUUGCUCCACUGGGAAGCUCUUCAUUCAAAAUUGAUUUACACUUGAUGGAAAAUAAUGCUCCUUACAUAACUAACCGGCAGCCGUGCCGGAGGCAAUGUGUGUAUGGAAUCAUAUACUGAGGAUAUUGUCACUUCUAUGUUACGAUUUGAGGAGAGAAAGGCGGAGUAGGGAAGCCGGCCGAGAGGAACAGCUCCUGAUCUUAAGAAGGAUAUGUUGUAUCAUAAACUUAUAACUUGGUCCCUUAUUGAAUGAAAGGGCAGGCUUCUGCUUUGAAUAAUACCACUUCAGACUUCAGUCCAAUUAUGUCUUCCUGUUCUGAAAAUUGACAACUCCAUGUGAUAACAAAACAUCUCAUGUAUUAUUGUACGGUUGAAAAUUGCUGCUUUACACUAUACAUUUAACGUGAUUAGAAAUUCCAUGAAAAUUUACAAACAAUACCAGGGAUGUGUCAUAGGCUGAAAAGGAGUAAGGAUGUUUGUACAUAGGCUGAAAAGGAGUAGGGAUGUUUGUACGUUCCUUCCCCACAGCAAAACCACAUAGCAAAAGGAUUACAAACACAGCUAACAAAUCAAUAAACACAAAAUCAUCAUUAGGUCAACGAUCAUAUGAUUAUAUCAGAUGCACGUCAAUUAAAUAAUUCUCAUGUUCAACUAAGGUCACUAAAAGCCCCCUAUUUGGCCUAAUUAGAUAUGGUCUUCGUGGUGAUAGGAUAUUUGUAAUAUAGCUCAUGACUUAAAAAAAAAAAUUCGGAUUUAAACCCUUGUGGUGAUAGGGUAUUUAGAAGACAAUCCAUUUCUAUUGAGCCACAAUGAAGGGAGUGCAGAAAUUCACAGUUUUGUUUUUGGGAUUAACAAAGAAAUAACAGAAAUUUGGUUUUUGGGCUUAAAUCACAACGGACUUCACCACAAGAAUAUAAAUCUGAUUUUUUUUACCACAUGGGCUAUCUUCCGAAUACUCUAUCAUCACGAGGACUAUUUAUACAAUUAGGUCAAUGUUUUUUUAAGGUGAAUAUCACAUGCUAAAACGGAGAAGGAUUCUCUCAUCUUCUAAUCUCUCUCCCAUUCCCUCCUCUCCUACUUGAACAAUUAUGAUUAAGUUAUGUCAAUAUUUUAUAUUGAUAUUUUUAUAAAGAUAAUAAGACAAAAAACAAUGUGUUGAUGCACAAAAUCAGCGAGGACUUUGGUACAACAGAAAGUGUCAGGUUUGUGACAUUCGCUUGGUUGCUUCGAUCACUAGUGAAGAUAAGUACGUAAAUGAAUAGGGACAGGGAAGCAAACACAAGAUGUACGUGGUUCACCCAAAUCGACUACGUCCACGGAGUAGAGGAGUUCUCAUUAAUUGUGAAGGGUUUACACAAAUACAUAGGUUCAAGCUCUCAUUUUUUGAGUUCUAGUGAAUAGUUUAGUACAAAAUGACAUUAGAUAUUAUUGUGGGAGAAUGAUCCCUAUUUAUAGAAGAAAGUUUCUAGUUUUGUUCUAACAUUGACACGUGUCGUGUUGUGAUUGGCUUCUGAUGUUGACACGUGUCGCGCUGUGAUUGGCUUCUGAUGUCGACACGUGUUGCAUUGUGAUUGGCCUCCUGGUUGAAGGGAAGCUCUUCUGGGUCCUUGACGUAUAACGUUGACCGGUGCUCAGUAGUUUCGGGAUUGGUCAAGUAUGGUACAAACAGUGCUCCCCUAAGUUCCCGAGUGAGGGAAGCUCCUCGGUUGGGGACUUGCAAGAUCCAAGCCACUGAGUAAUCACGAAACUUCUAAGUACCGAAGUGUGGUAUCAUUUUCACGCGCCUUAUCUGUCUCAUAUGUAGAUGUGGCAUCUUCUUUGGAAGUACUUUUCCUUCAUCCAUGGGUGGUAUCUUUAACCGAUGAAGAUGCACAAGGUAAUGUAUCAAUUUCACUUGAAGCUUACUUAUAGUUUCGGGCUUGGUCAAGUGCGAUACAAACCCUAUAGUAGGAGUCCCCCAAGUCGCCGAGCUAGGAGAUCUGCCGAAAGAGGUGACAGACAAGGUAAGCAGUCAAACUUCCAAGCAAGCAACCCAGGAUCAGAGGUUCGACUUCGGCUUCCGGUUGAUUGUUCUCCUUCUCCUUGUCUCUCAUUCAGCUGCCGGGAUAAGGAGAGGCAAAUGGAGAAGAGAUGAUAUGAGAUACUUUUGCUUUUGAAGAAGUAACUUUCCACAGGCUUAUUCUUGAACUGUGCUGGAGGGUUUUCUGGUUCCCUUCAGAGUAUAAGGCCGACUCAAGAAUUUGAGGGUCAAAACAAGUCCAUCAAAUCUAGAGUACGUUCGACCUUGAUGAUAUGGGAUACUUUUGCUGUUGACGGAAUAGUGAAUGUGGUAUGGAAAAGUGUCGUGCUGUAGUGAUCUGUUUCAGCUCACCGUUAAACCUUCUGCUUUAAUCUUUUGCAUGGCAGAAGUGGUGUGCAACCUUUGCAUUUAAAUGGUCCUUCAGAACAUUCCUUCAUAGUGACUCAUCCACGCUUGGCAGCUUCAGUGUAAAGAGCCAAUAUCUGAUCAACUGUCAUGAGGUAUGUGCCGGUGGAAUUCAUGACCUUGACAGCAGUUGAGGAUGAGUUCUCGAGAGCAAUGCUAAGUAAGCAACCAGGCAAAGGUCUCAGGCAGUCAGUUCCAGAUUGGAGGUUUGAUUUCAGGUUCCGACUGACUGCUCUCUUUCUCUUGUCCUGCAGGUGUGGACAAGGACGAAGACAAGGACAGGGAGAAAGCAUAAUAUGAGAUACUCUUACUUUCGACCCUGAUGAUAUGAGAUACUCUUGUUCUUGGUGUGGCUUAUUUGCUGAGGUAUUAUCGGGGGGAAAUAAAGCUGAGUAUUUCGAGAGGUUAUGUUGAGGGUGCAUUCUCGAAUGUGAGAAAGGGUUGAGCAUUUUUGUAGGUUUGCCUGUCCGUUGAGGAUGGAGGUCGAUGUAUAUAGGGAUUUCCCAAUAACAAGUAGUAAUGCUAUUCCUUUAUCCUUCUUGGUCACAACAAUGUAGUGGGAGCUGCCAGCUUCACGUGUUUUAACUUUGUCAGAGCACUUUGAAAAAUUGGUAUGUGGUAUCUGGAAAGCUGAUGUUGCGUGUGAAGAUUACAGACAAGCUUUAUCUAAGGAAAUCUGGCUCUCGAAGUUCUGAGAGCUGUGCCUCUUCGGUUUUCGAACAAGCAAUCCCGUCGGGGAUCUAGCUCUCGAGAUUCGGAAAGCGGUGCAGCUUCGGUUUUUGAGAAAGUAAUUAUGUUAGGAGUCUUUUCUCGAAGGUGAGUAAAGGUUGGACGUUCUUGCCAGCCUGUCUUGCCACAGAACACGGAGGUCGACACACAUAGGGGCUUUCCAGUUGUCAAGCAGUGGUGCUGUUCCUUUACCCUUGUGGGUAAUAGUAGGGUAGCUGGAACUUCUAAAUUCUCGUGCCUAAACUUUGUCAGAGAUCUUUGGCAAAGUUAUAUGUGGUACCCGAGGAGUUGAUGGUGCGUGUGGAGAGUGGUGAUUGAACAGUAAGAUUCACGUGCUUUUUAUUUCACCAGAAAUCUUCGACAGAUUGCCCAUAAUUUCCGCAAAGCUGAGUGUGCAUGUGACAGGUGCUGACGAGGCUGAAAAAGCAGGUGCUUCUUCGAUUUCUGAGAUCGGCCCUCGUGGUCUCUGAGCAACUCAGCUUUCGAGAAAGCAAACGCCUCUUCGAUUUCUGAAGCUCUGUCAAGUGUAGAUUUUUAUAGAGGUUGGCAUUAAGUUCCACAUCACACUUGAAUCUCCACCAGUAGAAGCUCCCUUCUUGCACUUCUAAGAUCUUGAUUUGUCUGACCUCUUCCCUCUUCAACACCUUUGAAAAUGUCUAGCUCCUCUGACCGUCGUUUUGACUUGAACCUUGGAGAAGAGACAGCCACGCCUUCUCCAGACAACAUAUGGCGCCCAUCCUUCAUAUCCCCUACUGGUCCUCUUACCGUUGGGGAUUCUGUGAUGAAGAAUGAUAUGACCGCUGCAGUGGUGGCCAAGAACCUUUUCACUCCCAAAGAUAACAUACUACUUUCCAAACGGUCUGAUGAGUUGGCUGUUAAGGAUUCUUUGGCUCUUAGUGUUCAGUGUGCAGGUUCUGUGUCUAAUAUGGCCCAACGCCUAUUUGCUAGAACCCGCCAAGUUGAAUCAUUGGCUGCUGAAGUGAUGAGUUUCAAACAGGAGAUUAGAGGGCUCAAGCAUGAGAAUAAACAGUUGCACCAGCUUGCACAUGACUAUGCUACAAACAUGAAGAGGAAGCUUGACCAGAUGAAGGAAUCUGAUGGUCAGGUUUUACUUGAUCAUCAGCGGUUUGUGGGUUUGUUCUAAAGGCAUUUAUUACCGUCGUCUUCUGAGGCUGUACUGCGUAAUGAAGCUCCAAAUGAUCAACCUCCGAUGCCUCCUCCUUCUGGGGUUCUGUCCAGUACUGAGGCUCCGGAUAACCACCCUUCGGUGCUUUCUCUUUCUGGGGCUCUACCGACUGCUGAGACUUCCCCUGAGCAACCUUUGUGAAGGCUCCCUCUUGUUUGUUUAUUUUGAUUCAUGUAUAUGUACAUAUUUGUAACUUAUCGGAAAUAUCAAUAAACAAGAUUAUCUUCAUUUCAACGUAUUGUGUUAAAUACACCAAGGCAUUCUUCACUAAGUUCUUUGAAUUUUUCCUUUUGUUGAAGCUUGUAUGUUGAAACUUUGUGAGUGAAGCAUGUAGGUUGAGGUAGUGCUCCCUUAAUUUCCCGAGUGAGGAAAACUUCUCGUUUGGAGACUUGAAAAAUCCAAGUCACUGAGUGGUCGUGAGACUUCCGAGUAUCAAGGUGCAGUAGCAUAUGGUAGGAGUCCCCCAAGUCUCUGGUCGAGGGAGUUGACAAAUGAGGCAUUUCCUUUCGAAGUGGUAGCCCAAAACUCCUUCUUCAUAUAUAUUUGUUAUGAAAGUUGUUAGGCCCAAAGAAGAGGAGGCCUAGGCAAAUUUUUUUUUUUUUGAAUUUUCAAAUUUCCGGAUUUUUGAAUUUUCGAAUUUCCGAAAAAUAAAAAAUAAAAAUAAUAUAUAUAUAUUUAAAAGCUUUGUAGGUGAAGCUUUGGUGUUGAAGAUUUGUAGGUGAAGCUUUGAGGUUGAAGCUUUGUUGGGCACCAUGAAUUGAUUUUGCUUCACACUAUCUUGAUGAAGAGUGUGUGAAGCUUUUAUAUGUUUUGGUGUUGAAAUUUUGUAUUGUAGGUGAAACUUUGGGGUUGAAGCUUGAUAGGUGAAGCUUUGGUGUUGAAGCUUUAUAGGUGAAGCUUUGGUGUUGAAAGCUUUAUAGGUGAAAGCUUUGGUGUUGAAGCUUUAUGAAGCUUUAUGUGAAGCUUUGGUGUUGAAGCUUUAUAGGUGAAGCUUUUGUUGGCACCAUAAAUUAAUUUUGCUUCACACUAUCUUGAUGAAGAUAGUGCGAAGUUUUGGAGAUUGAUAUUUGUCCUCCAUUGAUGAAGCUUUUGUUGGCACCAUAAAUUGAUCUUGCUUCACACUAUCUUGAUGAAGAUAGUGCGAAGCUUUUGAGAUUGAUAUUUGUCCUCCAUUGAUGAAGCUUUUGUUGGCACCAUAAAUUGAUUUUGCUUCACAGUAUCUUGAUGAAGAUAGUGCAAAGCUUUUGAGAUUGAUAUUUGUCCUCCAUUGAUGAAGCUUUUGUUGGCACCAUAAAUUGAUCUUGCUUCACACUAUCUUGAUGAAGAUAGUGCGAAGUUUUGGAGAUUGAUAUUUGUCCUCCAUUGAUGAAGCUUUUGUUGGCACCAUAAAUUGAUCUUGCUUCACACUAUCUUGAUGAAGAUAGUGCGAAGCUUUUGAGAUUGAUAUUUGUCCUCCAUUGAUGAAGCUUUUGUUGGCACCAUAAAUUGAUUUUGCUUCACACUAUCUUGAUGAAGAUAGUGCAAAGCUUUUGAGAUUGAUAUUUGUCCUCCAUUGAUGAAGCUUUUGUUGGCACCAUAAAUUGAUUUUGCUUCACACUAUCUUGAUGAAGAUAGUACGAAGCUUUUGAGGAUUGUAGUUGUGUUCCAUUGUUGAAGCUUUGUUUUUCCUUUUUUUUUUUUUUUUUUUUUUUUUUUUUUGGGAAAACUAGAAAUUUGAAAAUGUGGGAGAGACAACAUAUACAAAUUUUGCUUCCAUACUGUUAAGCGAGAGAUUGUGAUGCAAGCCACAUCUUGUAGUAGUCGAAGGUUUGGAUGAACCAUAUAAAUUGAAUUUGCUUCGAACAGUCUUGAUCAAGAGCGUGUGAAGCUUUCUAUGAGUUGUAGUGUUUGCAUUGUUACAGAGGAGAAAUGUCUGAAGCAGAUGCAAGAGGGCUGAAGAGCUUGAUCUUCGUAUACCAUGCACUGAAGCCAUUGUUGGCUUGCAAUAAGACUUUGUUGGUGACUAUAGCUCUUGUUAGGCAUAAGUGCUCCCUUAGUUGAGUUGUAAAGCUUGAUGGUUUUUGAUUAUUUGUGAAUGCUAGGAGUUCACAUGUACAAGUUGUACCACUCGUCUUCUGGUUAGUGGAAUGAAGGGUGGGUUGCUUUCAUCACUUGGUUGGUGGUACGAAUGUGAAUUCCUUAAUCACCUUUCAUCACAUUUCAUCACCUGGUUGGUGACAUGAAGGAGAGUACGCGUUGUACAUUUCAUCACCUGGUUGGUGGCAUGAAGAUGAGUUCCUUCUUCACCUGAUUGGUGAUAAGGGUGGCAAGUUUCCAAAUAAUAUUAGAGUACGGGUUGUACAUUUCAUCACCUAGUUGGUGGUACGAAGGUGAGUUCCUUCAUCACCUAGUUGGUGAGAAUAAGGGCAAGGUGUCGAGGCACAUUGUGGCAAAUGUCGAAUGACACAAAGUGUGUUGAACCCUUUCGAAGCACAGUUGGCUUAUGUAUGGAUGUGUUGGAAUGUAUGAUGUUUAUGCAUGAAUGUGUUGGAAUGUAUGAUGUUUAUGUAUGAAUGUAUUGGAAUGUAUGAUGUUUAUGUAUGAAUGUGUUGGAAUGUAUGAUGUUUAUCCUUUGUAUAGUCUUGUUGACACAUACUUAGAUUUUGUUUUGUAUUAGAAACAUUUGCGUUGAAGCUUCAACACUUGAGUGUUUCAUUGCUCAGAAUGUAAAAGAGUUUAGGGCCGAGUUGGCUAAAUCACCUUUUUAUUGAAUUCAUACCAAAUGGUUUUGUUACAUAGGAUGCCGAACGGCUGUAGCUUAACACUUGUACAAUGUGAGUCUAUUUGUAAUAGUACUUCAAGUCGUCAGCAUUCCAUGGAUGGCCAAAAGUCUUGCUGUCGGAGCUUCUGAGCUUGUAGGAGCCAGGGCGGCUGAUGCUGACGACCUCGAACGGUCCAUCCCAGUUAGGACUGAGUGUUCCUUCAUUCGGGACUCUAUCACAGAGUAAUCUUUUCUUCAGUACCCAGUCUCCACUUUGAAUGAGCGAGGUUUGACCCUUGAGUCGUAGUAGUUGGAGAUGCGCUGCUUGUAGGCGACAUUCCUCAGAUGAGCCUGAUUUCUAUGUUCCUCGACUAGAUCCAGGUUGAGGGUGAGUUGUUUGUCGUUUUCACUCUGCAUGUAGUUCUGGAUUCGGUAUGUUGCUUGCUCAAGCUCAACCGGGACAACUGCUUCUGUACCAAAAGCAAGUGAGAAUGGAGUUUCUCCUGUGGAAGUCCGAUAUGAAGUGCGGUAUGACCAAAGAACUUGGGGUACGAAUUCUGGCCAACAACCUUUAGCUUUGUCCAAGCUAGUUUUCAGAGUGCGCUUGAUUAUUUUGUUAACGGCCUCGACUUGUCUAUUAGACUGGGGAUGGGCUGGAGAGGCAAAACAUAAGUUGAUGUUAAACUUAGAGCAGAACAUCCUGAAGUUCUUGUUAUCGAAUUGUCACCCAUUGUCCGUGACUAUCGCAUUGGGAAUGCCGAAUCUGCAAAGGAUGUUCUUCCAUACGAAGUCUUCUAUUUUUGCCUCAGUAAUGGUUGCCAAGGGUUCUACUUCAGUCCACUUUGUGAAGUAGCCAACUGCAACGAUUGCAUAGCGGACCUUGCCCUUCCCUGCAGGCAUUGGGCCGAUCAAAUCAAGUCCUCAUUGGGCGAAGGGCCAAGGGCUGAUCAUAGGAGUGAGCGGCUCGGGAGGGGAGUGAGGGAUAGUUGCGUAGCGUUGACACUUAUCACAUGAGCGAGAUAUUCUGAUGGCAUCUUGGUGGAGUGUUGGCCAAUAGUAUCAUUGGCGAAAAGUCUUGUGUGCUAGGGAUCGAGACCCAGCAUGAUCUCCGCAGACUCCUUCAUGUAUUUCCCGAAGGACAAUUUCCGCCUCCGCAGGUGUAAGGCAUCUUAGGUAAGGCAGGGUAAAACCUCGCUUGUAGAGUUGGUCAUUAAUGAUCAGGUAGCGAGCAGACUUGUAUCGAAUCUGCUUAGCUUGGACUUUGUCAUUUGGGAGGGUGCCAUGGGCAAGGAAUUUAUAAAUUGGGGUGAUCCAACUAUCUCCUUGUUGUAAAUUGCACACUUCUGCGACCAUGGUGCUUGGUGCUGCCAACAAUUCGACAUGAAUUUUUCUCCCAAUCUUGUCUUCCACUGCCGAGGCGAGGCGGGCCAAAGCGUCUGCAUGACUAUUUGCCGCUCGAGGAACUUGGGUGAUCUGGUAGUGGAAGUGCUUGAGCAAAAGUCGUGUUUGCGCAAGAUAUGUUGCCAUGGAGCUAUCCUUAGCAUCAAAGUUGUUCGUGACUUGGUUGACCACUGAUUGAAAGUCACUGAAGAUAUCAAUUUGUUUAACUCCAAGAUGCUUGGCCAAACGUAAGCCUGCUAGAAGGGCUUCGUAUUCGGCCUCGUUGUUCGAUGCCUUGAAUUUGAAACGAAGAGCGUAUUCUAUCGCCACUUUGUCAGGGGUAGUGAGGACUAAUCCUGCUCCGCAGCCCUGUUGGUUGGAUGAGCUAUCAACAUACAGACUCCAUGCUGGGGUUGUUGAUUUUGUCUUCUGAGCUUCCGAUGGUAAUGAAGCUAUUGCUUCAGGUGUAGAAGCUAUUGCUUCAGGUGUAGAAGCAAUGUCAACAGGAUAUGUGAAGUCGGCGAUGAAAUCUGCUACUGCUUGACCCUUUUCGGCUGGUUUUGGUUGGUAGGAGAUGUCAAACUCACCCAAUGCUAUUGCCCAUUUGAUCAUUCGCCCAUACGUGUCAGGACUCUAGAGUACCUGUCGAAGAGGGUGAUUGGUAAGCACGAUGAUGGCGUGUGCUUGGAAAUAAGGGCGAAGUUUUCCAGCAGACAUGACCAAUGCUAGAGCUAAUUUCUCAAUGUUGGAAUAUCGUGUCUCCGCAUCUUGUAGGGCCUUGCUAGCAUAGUAGACGGGCCGUUCGACACCACUGUCCUUUCGGAUAAGAACAGAACUGACUGCUGAAGCCGAGACCGAUAGAUAGAUAAUGAGAGUGUCACCAACUUCUGGUUUGGAGAGCAGAGGGGCUUUACUCAUGUACUCUUUGAGGUUCCUGAAUGCCUUGGCACAUUCCUCCGUCCAUGUAAUGUACUUCUUAUUUCCCUUGAGUGCUUUGAAGAAAGGAGCACAUCUGUCUGUGGCCUUAGAGAUGAAUCUGGUUAAGGCUGCCACAUUGCCAGUAAGGCUUUGGAUGUCUUUUGAAGUUACUGGCUCUUUCAUGUCGAGGAUUGCUUUGAUCUUUUCGGGGUUAGCUUCAAUGCCUCGUUGGCUAAUCAUGAAGCCUAAGAAUUUGCCAGAUCCCACGCCGAAGGCACAUUUGUUGGGGUUCAACCUCAUUCGAUACCUCUUUAGAAUGGUGAAAGUUUCAGAUAGGUUGGUGAUGUGUUGGUCAGCAUGUUUGCUUUUGACUAGCAUAUCAUCAACGUAAACUUCCAUGCUCUUCCCAAUCUAUUCGGCAAACAUUGAAUUGACCAGUCUCUGAUAAGUUGCUCCUGCAUUCUUUAGGCCGAAAGGCAUGACUUUGUAGCAAUAUAGUCCCUUGUCAGUAGUGAAGGCUGUGUUCUUGGUCUGAGGGGUUCAUGAGGAUUUGGUUGUAUCCUGAAUAAGCGUCCAUGAAGCUCAAGAGCUCACACCCUGCCGUAAAGUUUAUAAGUCUAUCAAUGAGAGGAAGGGGGAAACUAUCAUUCGGGCAUCCUUUGUUUAGGUCGGUGUAGUCGACACACAUUAUCCACAAGACCUUUUGAAGCAGAAGACUUUCUUUGGUCAGAUUUUUCUUAACAAGGACAACAUUUACUACCCAUGUUGGGUAAUUGACUUCACGGACGAAGCCUAUGUCCUUGAGUUUUUCAACUUCUGCUUUCAUCGCCUCGUAUCGUUCAACAUCAUAAGAUCUUCGCUUCUGUUUUACUGGUUUGGUCUUGGGAUCAAUACUCAAGUGGUGACAGAUGAUAUCGGGAGAGAUGCCCGGCAUAUCUUUAUAUGACCAAGCGAAGACCUCGGCGUUCUCUUGCAAAAAGGAGAUCAGCGACAACCGAAGGGGUGGUGACAAAGUGGUGCCAAUCUUCACCAUGCGAUCUGGAUGGUCUUUGGAGAUAGAGACAUUCUCUAACUCUUCAGCGGGUUGUGCUUGCUGGGUGAAUGAGUCAUCUCGAGGGUCGUCGGGUUGACUGUUGCCAUCAUGAAGAUCCGAGUUGGCUUCAUCUGGACUGGUCUUUACUACCUGGUUAUGUAUAGAGAGGGUCUCCUUGAGGACAUGCAGGUGUUGUUGCUUAACUGAAGUGUUGUAACAUGAUCGAGCACUAAGUUGAUCUCCCAUGAUGUAUCCAUUGCCGAAAGGGGUUGGAAACUUCAUCAACAACAUAUGUGUGGAUACCAUGGCCUUGAGAUCAUUGAUGCCUGUGCGCCCAAAGAUGACAUUAUAUGCCGUCGGGCAAUUGACCACUAGGAAGUUAGUGGUAAUAGUAGCUGUGUAGGGGCCUGUACCAAUGGUGAGGGGUAAGUGUAUACUCCCUAAAGGUUGCACGAUAUCGCCAGAGAAGCUUAUCAGAGGAGAAAUCGAGCGAUCGAGCAAGUGUUCAGCUACAUUAAGUGCCUUGAAAGCUUCAGCAAACAUGAUAUUGACUGAAGCACCUGUGUCUAUCAGGAUUCGUUUCACAUCAAAAUUUGCUAUGUGAGCCUCCACGAUCAGCGGGUCGUUGUGAGGGUAGAUGAUACCUCUUUCUUCCUCAGGGUAGAAACAUAUUGGAUCCCAGUUAGGUUUUUGAUACUUGCCUCCCCUGAUGUCUUCCACGUGAAACACUUGAUGGCCAUGUCUCAAAGUUCGUUCACUGUUUUUCAUGGCCCUAUUGGAAGAUUCAGACAUGGGUGUGCCGCCGCUUAUGGAGUAUAUCACAUUCACCUGGCGUUGGUUACGGUUAUCCCUUGGAGGAUGAAGGAGGAACUGAUCAAUUUUUCCUUCACGUGCCAAAGCUUCGAUAUGAUCAUGGAGGAUGAUGCAUUUCUCGCCGUCAUGGCCAUUAUACGUGGUAGCAGCAAAACACGCUCGUGUUCUUCGUGGACUUGUAAUUUGGCUGUCUUGGCUUUGGCUUUGGUAUCAGGUAAGCUAUACUGGGGUAGAUGGCCGCGCAUGUAGCGUUCAAAGGUGUGUAUGUCUCAUACCUCGGGGUAUGGCCUGUCUUGACACGCGAUUGGCCCACUGCGUUGACUGCAUGGGGAUGGGUGUUAUUGUGACGAUAUACUGAGUUAUCGUGAUAGUGCCCCUUAUUCUUUUUAUUAAAAUGAGAUUGGUGAGGAUGGAAAUCUUUCCUUUUGCCCUGGGAUUGAUAUGUCUGCUGACUUGGCGAAGCAUUAAAUGAGGCCGGGGGGUGUGCUGCUACCGUUUGGAAGGUUGAGGUCUUUUCAUUCGGUUGGAUCUGGCCUCCACUCCUACUUGCUGAUAAGGGGUGACUGUAGGGGGUUUCCCUUGAUAUGUCCUUGCCUCGGCAGAGGCAUGGUUGUAAGCUUGUGCCAUCACUUCAGAGUAAGUCUUCCAAGUGUUGGCAUUGAUCAUGUACUUGAAGAAACAGUCACGUAAGCCUGCCGUGAAGGCCUUGAGGGCGGUCUUGUCAUCUGCCUCAGCGCAGCGGGAAUACUCAUGGCUGAAGCGACCAGCAUACUUUCGUAAUGACUCGUCCGGCUUCUGGUGAAUAGUGUACAAGUCAUCUGCGGAAUGCAAGCGAUCGGUCUAGAAGAUGUGUUGAGAGACAAACAACUUCCUCAACUCUUCAAAUGAGUCUACCGUCUCGGGUAGAAGACGACAAUACAGUUUAAAGCUCCGCCAGAAAGGGUGGAGGGGAAGAGAAGGCACCGUUCUUCAUCGGUGUGUCUCCGGUAUACCAUGGUGGACUCAAAGAGGUUAAUGUGUUCAAUCGGGUCUUCCCUUCCAGUAUAGAGUUGUAAGUCAAGCUUCUGCUUUGUCUUCGCUUGGAGGGGGGUGUUGAGGAUCCUUCUUGUGAGGGGGCCAGGCCUGGGUUGGUUCCAGUCAGGUAUCUCGGCUUGACGUUCAGCCUUCAACUUGUUUACUUCCUCCAGGAGCUGUAGGACGAGGGGGUCCUGAGUGGAGUCGUGCAUCACUGGAGUUUUCUUCCGUAAGUCCCCAUCGCCUCUUGGAAGUAGGAAAGUUUGAUCAAGAUAGCAUGAUUUUUCCUUGGACUCGUCACACUGACUCCUAGAGUGAGUAUGUCGGAACAUUUCCGAGUCCCCUGUACCUUCAUGUUCUUCUGGGACUUGUUGCCCAUUCCCUAGAUUAACUGCUGGCCUGGGUCGUGGGAAAGGACCGAGUCUUUCAGAAACUCUUGGGUCAUUGAUCUUCGAGCUUAUGUGGAUGGGAUUCUCUCGACGUUGCUUUAGGAAGUCUCGACAAUCGCGAUAGACAGCUUUUGAUCCUUCCACUCCUUCUGUGAGGAGGUGCUUUCCUCUACUCUUUCUGCUUCGGGUUGAAGCAGCUGGGUUGAGAGAAGUCUCAUGUUGAUUAUCACAUUGAUGUGUAGCUCGAUCCCUAUCAGGGAUGUCCGUGUUGGAUAUUGGUGACCCUCCGUGUUGGGGGGCAUUCAGAUGAUUGUUGACCUCAGCAGGGGCGACGAGCUUGUGUGCUUGAGCAUGCCUAGCCUCGUGAAGCAUCUCGAAAAGUUUUUCAUACUGCUCCUGGAGGACCUCGUUCCUCAUCACUAUCUUGUUGUUCUGAGCUUCUAACUCAUCGACUUUAGCUUGAAGAGUAACUCUAUUUCCUUCCUGCUUUCGUUGCUUCAUACUAGGUCCAAUGGGGGUGUCAUUCUGUGUGCUAUGGCUUCUUUCGCUCCCCAUGUUGGAGAGAGAUGUUUGGCCAAAAGAAAGUGUACGGGCGGUGGAAACCAGCUUAACAAAGCUGAAGAGAGUGGGAGUAAGUGUCUUUCCCACAGACGGCGCCAAAUGUUGAUGCACAAAAUCAGCGAGGACUUUGGUACAACAGAAAGUGUCAGGUUUGUGACCUUCGCUUGGUUGCUUCGAUCACUAGUGAAGAUAAGUACGUAAAUGAAUAGGGACAGGGAAGCAAACACAAGAUGUACGUGGUUCACCCAGAUUGGCUACGUCCACGGAGUAGAGGAGUUCUCAUUAAUUGUGAAGGGUUUACACAAAUACAUAGGUUCAAGCUCUCAUUUUUUGAGUUCUAGUGAAUAGUUUAGUACAAAAUGACAUUAGAGAUUAUUGUGGGAGAAUGAUCCCUAUUUAUAGAAGAAAGUUUCUAGUUUUGUUCUAACAUUGACACGUGUCGUGUUGUGAUUGGCUUCUGAUGUUGACACGUGUCGCGCUGUGAUUGGCUUCUGAUGUCGACACAUGUCGCAUUGUGAUUGGCCUCCUGGUUGAAGGGAAGCUCUUCUGGGUCCUUGACGUAUAACGUUGACCGGUGGUAGAUGGCCGCGCAUGUUGAUGUGGCAUCUUCUUUGGAAGUACUUUUCCUUCAUCCAUGGGUGGUAUCUUUAACCGAUGAAGAUGCACAAGGUAAUGUAUCAAUUUCACUUGAAGCUUACUUAGAAGUUUCGUGAUUACUCAGUGGCUUGGAUCUUGCAAGUCCCCAACCGAGGAGCUUCCCUCACUCGGGAACUUAGGGGAGCACUGUUUGUACCAUACUUGACCAAUCCCGAAAACUACUGAGCACCGGUCAACGUUAUACGUCAAGGACCCAGAAGAGCUUCCCUUCAACCAGGAGACCAAUCACAAUGCGACACGUGUCGACAUCAGAAGCCAAUCACAGCGCGACACGUGUCAACAUCAGAAGCCAAUCACAACACGACACGUGUCAAUGUUAGAACAAAACUAGAAACUUUCUUCUAUAAAUAGGGAUCAUUCUCCCACAAUAAUCUCUAAUGUCAUUUUGUACUAAACUAUUCACUAGAACUCAAAAAAUGAGAGCUUGAACCUAUGUAUUUGUGUAAACCCUUCACAAUUAAUGAGAACUCCUCUACUCCGUGGACGUAGCCGAUCUGAGUGAACCACGUACAUCUUGUGUUUGCUUCCCUGUCCCUAUUCAUUUACGUACUUAUCUUCACUAGUGAUCGAAGCAACCAAGCGAAGGUCACAAACCUGACACUUUAUGUUGUACCAAAGUCCUCGCUGAUUUUGUGCAUCAACACAAUGUAUGAGAGAAGGAAAUGAAAGAUGAUGUGAAUAAGAGGGGAGAAAAUUCUACUCAUGCUAAAAACAAAAAAUAAUGAUCGACUCUGUAGAUAUUGGCCAAACCAAACAUUAGAUGUGAAAAAUUAGCACUUUGCCGAAUAAUAUUCCGAGUGAGCAAAAUAGAGAAAAAUAUAACAAUGGCACACAGAAAAAAUAUAAAAGUUGAGGAGCCGGGUGAUAUAAUAUUAGACAUUGCAAUUGUAGGCUCGGACGACUCAAGGAGAAAAAGGUUGCUUGCACCACUAUAGGAAAAUUACAAAUCAACAAUGCAGAGGUAACGUGCAUGGUCUUCUCUUCUGCCAUGAAAAAUUCAUGUUGCUUUCAUAUAAUUAACUAAUUAACUAGUUAUUAGUGUUAAUUAUUCUCUAACAUUUCCUUCCUCCAUUGUUUUCUUCUUCUUCAGAUCAAAGUUUCAAUAGUUUUUUUUUAUUUUUUAAAUUCCUUUUACUUUAACAAUAUUAGCGAUUCCAAUUCUACUAGCUAGUUUUAGGUUGUAUUUUAAUUGGCUCGUGUGCUUCUGUUGCAGGACGUGUUUGGGGAAAAAGGAAGGAUACUUGAACAGGCAGGAGCUGUAGCAAAGGUAGCCUCUAUGAAAAAACAUAAUGAACUCUUUGUAACGAAACAACUUCGUUUGACUCGUUUCAUUUAAAUUUUUUGUUUUUCUCAGGUGCAAAGCGACGUGGUUUUGUUAAAAAAAAAAAAAAAACUAAAACGGAGCAACGCCCCACUGCAGAAAACCAAAAUGCAGCACCGCAGCACCAGAGCAGAGGGGUGGAAACCUGGAUUUUGGGAACGAACUCCGGCGACCGAAGGUGCGAACACACCUCCUUGAACCUCUGUGGCUUCGCCAAUGAAGGUCUCGAUAUUAUUUAUGAGGAGUUCAUGAUAAUUACUUUAAAGUGUUAAUAACAAUCCUCUUUCUUAUUCUUAUGCUAGUAGGUCUGGUACUUCCUACAAUCUUAAAAUAUGCAUAAAUUCACUCAUAUAGAAUGGGAAAAUGCCAUACGUUACCAUUUGGAAAUUGGCGAGACAUGAAAAAGUCCUUGAACCUCGCUCCCCCCCGCAAGGCAGGCUUAAACUCGCCCGUGAUGAGAAGACAUGUCUUUUGUGAAUGACAGGAAAUAGGACAAAACCAUCCCUUCUCUUUUUUGUUAGUAAAAGCAUCCCAUGCUUUCUAUCUCUUCAUUCCACUGACUAUUUCGAACACAAAACAUCAAUACAAGUAUUAGUAAAAUGAAAACUUCUUUCUUUUAUUCAAUAAUUAUUAUGGGUUGUGUUUAUUGAUCAACCUGUAAGUAGAUAAAACACUAAUAAUACAAUUAGUUAGGUAAAAAAAAUCAGUUUUUUUUUCAAGUUUCUCAACUAACCGGGACCUAAGUAUUCCCUUGGCGUUCUUACACCAACAAAGAAACAACAACGAAACACACAGGAACACAAAAAUUGGGGACCUCUUUUUAUCUACUUGCCCACCAUCACAAAUAUUACCUUUUUUUUCUUGUAUGGUUUGGUGGUAGGGAACGAAACCUAGCUACAUUCACUUCUUCUGAUUUGCAGUUGACUCUGGUUUUUACAUGAGUAUAUACUGAAGCUCGAUGGACCCCAGGCUAUAUAAUAUUCGAAAAUAGUCAUUCCUUAUUUGUCCGUCAAUCACAAUAUAUAUAAUCAAUUUGAUGAGUAAUUUUGCGUACAUGUAAAGUGUACGUACAAUCCUACAGAGAAUAUUUACAUUAGUUAUAAGGCCUCAGCAUUUGAUAUAACUAAAAGGCAACCUGUAUCAACUCAUUCUUCGAGUCAAGAAUAUCUGAGCUUCUUAGAGGGGGAAUAUAGGCUCUAAAACCAUGUCUUGGUUUUUUACAGUUCUCUUUCUUGUUACUGCUCUUACAUUUCAUACUCCUUCAGAGGCUAGCCAUGAGAAGAACGAUCCUUCUGCAGUUGUUGUAGGCACUGUCUACUGUGACACAUGUUUCCAAGAGGAUUUCUCACAUACCAGCCAUUUCAUUUCAGGUAAAUUCAUCUCAAAAUUUCAACAAGUUCUUCAUCAAAUUUAUUUUUAUAUUGUAGUCUGACUAUAAAAUAGACGUCCGUUCAAUGAUUUCCGUACACCUUCUCCUCCAUACACUCAUGUUUAUUUUGUAAUCUUUAAAUUCAAAUGAAUCAAAGAAAAUCAAAAGAAAGGAAUAAAAAGGGUACAAAAUGAAAAAAAAGAAAGUAAAAUCCAAGAAAAUGACUGAAAACCUAUAUGUAAGUAUUUCCUAUAUAUGAGUCAACUAUACAACUACGAAAAGUAUAUAACAAAUCAAUUUCAAAAAAAUCUCGCCUAACUCCUUGGCGGUAAGACUCUGCAUUCAAUCACGAUUUCUUUCCAACAGACAACGAGUGGUAGGGAUAUUAUUUCUCUUGAAGAAAAGUUGGAGGAUAUGUCAUUUGUAUGUGUUGAUAUCAUUGUCGCCAAGUAUGCAUGUCAUCAGUAACUUUAAAUGAUUUAUCCCCAUACAAAGUAUAAUAGUUGAUCUAAAUGAUUUAUCCCCAUACAAAGUAUAAUAGUUGGUCUAAACCCUAAUUCCAUAAAGGACCAUACUGUUUAAAUGAAAUAAUUGCUCGGUUCCAUUUUACCCCUACAUUUUCUGCUUUUGUUUCGUUGCAAGAGUUUAACUUGUUAUUUGGAAUAUAUUGUUCACAGAAAGCACUUGUUCAGCAAUUUUUGGCUACUGAAGAUGCACUGAACAAAGCUGCAGAAGCGAGGGAUCUAUGUCAAAAACUUAUAAAACGCUUGCAUGGCAAUAGUGAUGUAAUUUCUUCAGGAACAUCACAAAAUGUGGGCAGUCUUAGGCAACUUGAGGUAAAUCUUCCUUGCAUAUUAAAAGUAUUAACUACCAAUAGUUUGGGUGGAAAUAGCACCAUGGGUGACAGGUUUGAUUAGUUUCAGUCUUUUGAUCGUUUCCAUAGUUGUAUACUGUAUACUAGGUUACUUUUAGCCUGCACUGUGUUCUCAUCUGAUUUUUUACAGUCUUCCAUUUGCUUUGUGUAGAUGGAGGUUUGGGCUAAGGAAAGAGAAGUUGCUGGCUUGAGGGCUAGCUUGAAUACACUGAUGUCUGAAAUACAACGCUUAAAUAAAUUAUGUGCGGAAAGGAAAGAAGCUGAAGAUUCUUUGAAAAAGAAGUGGAAGAAGAUUGAAGAAUUUGAUUACCGCAGAUCAGAACUUGAAAUCAUAUAUACCACAUUACUAAAAGUUAACAUGGUAAGGAUCUCAGCUUCAAUAGUGCUUAUAAAUUUACUAGUCACUUCAUAUACUGGCAUUGUAUAAGCCAUGUCUGGUCAUUCCAUGAAGUGUCGGCUCCUUUUCUUUAAGUUCCAGGCAAAAGUUCAUAUAUAUAAUAUAAAAUUCAAGACAAAUUUUCUAGCAGCCCAACGAGUAGAUGGACUCUUUUUUUUUUUUAAAUGAAAUCCACGGUCUCCUCUUUAGAUGCCCAAAGACCCUAUUUAUGGUUAUAGGUCUGGGGUUAACUCACCAGGAGACUUCAAUUUCCCUGGAACUUAUGCAAAUGAUAUCACCAAUUGCAUAGUUUUCAUUUGUUAUUCGUAUCAUAUGGUAGAAUAUUUCAAUAGAGGCAGCUAGGAUAAUGCUUAUCCAUCUCUUUGUCUUCUGUCGGGAAUAUUUUCUAAUGUUAUUUUUGUCUUGGUACAUGGUAGGAUGCUGCUGCCUUCUGGAAUCAGCAGCCAUUAGCCGCACGGGAGUAUGCAUCAAGCACAAUUAUUCCUGCAUGCACAGUAGUCAUGGAUCUUUCAAAUAGUGAAAAACAUCUUAUUGAAAGAGAAGUUUCUGCUUUUGACCAAAGUCCUGAUAAUAGCCUCUACAUGAUUCCAGCAAUUCCACAGGUUUGUGUUGGGGCUUAAAAAGACUUCACUACUUUGGAGAUGUUUAUCUCAUAAAGAAGAAUGUAACGCAGCGGAAUUGAUAGCCAAGAAAAAAGAAAGAACACUCAGAGUAUUACACAAAAUUUUUAUUCUCACACAAACUUAGUACAAGAGGAAACACUCAAACACUCUUACACUUCUUCACUCUUUUUCUCGCUUCUUGCUUUCUUACUGACUCUCACUUCUUCUUGCUUCUUUGUUACACAACACCACACACCUAUUUAAAGGUGGUGUUCCCCGACUAUCCUUGUUACCACCGACUUGAGCAUUGCAGCAAUGACCACAUGAUUUGCCGCCUCUAGAUCUUUCUUUAACUUGGAUAUUUUAGGUGAUAACCAUUUGAAAUUGCUGAAAUUUUCCAGCUAUAUUAUCGACAUAGAUUGCUAGCAUUUGCACACAUUUGCUUUGGGUUAGAUCACUUGUCUUGGGCCAAAGACAAGAUUACCUUUUAACAUCCUCCCUUAAUCUUGUCUUGUGACGCCGAUUGAGUUCCUCAGUCUAACAAAGUCUUCUUGUUUGAGUGGCUUGAUGAAUAUGUCAGCGACUUGGUCUUGAGACUUCACGGAUUCCACUUGCACAUCCUUUCUUGCAAUGCACUCUCUUAUGUAGUGAUAACGAGUAUCUAUGUGCUUGCUCCUGUCAUGGAACACCAGAUUCUUUGCUAGAGCUAUUACAGACUUGUUGUCGACAUUGAUCUCUGUUGGCUCUUCUUGUGGCCUGCUUAAUUCUUUCAGCACGUUUCUCAGCCAAAUUGCAUGACAGAUACAUGCGGUAGCAGCUAUAUAUUCAACUUCACAGGCAGACAGUGUGACAAUUGGUUGCUUCUUCAACAUCCAUGUGAAUGCAGUGUCUCCCAUGAAGAACACAAAUCCAGUAAUGUUUUUUCUAUCGUCGGAAUCUCCUGCCGAAUCACUGUCGCUAUAUCCAACAAGCUUGUAGUUAUUAGAGCUUGAAUAGAACAAGCCAAAGUUAAUAGUACCUUUAAGGUAUCAAAGAAUUCUUUUGGCGGUCUUCAAAUGUGUACUUAUGGGAUUCUCCAUGUAUCGACUAACUAAUCUGACGACAUAGAGAAUAUCUGGUCUUGUGCAAGCCAAUAGUGCAAGCUUCUAACUAGACUUUUGAAAAAUGUUGGAUCUACGCUUUCUCCUUUGUCAUGCUUGGUUAGUUUGACUCCGCACUUCAUUGGCGUGCUUAUGGGCUUGCAGUCUUCCAUUUUGAACUUUUUCAAUACCUCAUUUUGUAGCUUUCUUGGGAGAUGAAAAUGCCUUCUUCGUUUUGCUUAACUUCAAUGCCUAGGUAGUAUGUCAUCAGCCCGAUGUCGGUUAUCUCGAAUUCUUUGGUCAUCACUCUCUUGAACUCUUCAAACAUACUUGGAUUACUCACGGUGAAGAUUAGAUCAUCCACAUAUAAGCACACAAUCAAAAUGUCUCCAUCUUUGACUUUGAGAGCAUGUUCAUGAGGGCACUUGAUGAAGUUGUUCUCCUGAAAGUACUUGUCGAUGUGACUAUUCCAUGCUCGUGGCAUUUAUUUUAACCCAUAGAGGACUUUCUUCAACUUCAGAACUUUGUCUUCAUGCCCUUUGAUUUCAUAACCUGAUGGUUGCUGAAUGUAGACUUCUUCUUCAAGGACUCCAUUUAGGAAAGCGGACUUCACAACCAUUUGUUGAAUCUUCCAUUUGUUUUGAGCUGCCAAAGAAAUUAGUAAUUGUAUCGUUUCCUAAUGAGCAACGGGUGUAAAUACUUCAUUAUAAUCGAUUCUGGCUGUUUGACUAUAACAUUUCGCCACUAGUCUCGCCUUGUGUCUUUCGACCUCUCCAUUGGCAUUUUUCUUUGUUUUGUACACCCACUUGACUCCGAUGGCUUUAUGUCAUUUCGGAAGAAUAGUGAGUUCCCAUGUAUCAUUUUUUUGAAUUGCUUUGAUUUCUUCAUCCAUUGCUUUCCUCCAUUUAGUAUCCUGCACUGCUUCUUAGAAGUUGACUAGUUCACAAUCAGCAAAGAGACAGAAAAAUGUAGGAUUAUCAAGUCUUUUAGCCACCUCAUAGAGAUCUUGUAGACUUCUUGUGUGUGGUACUUCUGUUUCAUUUAGACUCCCACUUGACGAUGCUGAUGCUGGUAAAUUGCCAUGAUUGGUUGAUGUUGGUGAAGCAGGUAGAGUAGUGGAUUCUUGUUGAUCUUCUCUUGCUUGCUCCAUUAUUGUUUGUUCAUUAUCUUCUUCAAAUUGAGGAAAGAAGUGAAGAUCACCUGCAUGCAAGCCAAAAUCCCAUUCUCUUUCUUUAUUGAACGUCACUUCUCGACUAAUCACCGUCUUCCCAUUGUUCGAAGUAUACAGUUUAUAGCCUUUUGAAUUUGUGUCAUAGUUGAUGAAGAUGAACUUCUCACUUUUGUCGUCAAGUUUGGUGCUCCUCUUGUCUGGUACAUGUACAUGGGCUAUGCUUCCAAAAACUGUUAGAUGAAAGAUACCUGGCUUUCUUCCACUCCAUGCUUCUUGCGGAGUCCUUCCCUACACACUCUUUGUUGGAGACCGAUUGGAUAGGUAGACAACAUAUGUUACAGCUUCUGCCCACAAUUCCUUAGGCAAUCUCUAGCUUUUGAGCGUGCUUCGAGCCAUGUCGAGGGAUAGUUCGAUCUUUUCUUUCCGCCACACUAUUUUGUUGAGGGGAUCUUGGAACUAUCAAAGGUCAACGAAUUCCAUUUGCUUCACAAAACUCUUGAAAUUCAUUCGAAGUGAAUUCUCCUUCUCGAUCAGAUCUCAUGGCUUUGAUCUUGCAACCACUCUACUUUUCUACAACGGCUUUGAACUUCUUGAAUGCUCCAAAGACUUCUGAUUUCUGCUUCAAGAAAUACACCCAGGUUUUCCUUGAAAAAUCAUCAAUGAAGAGAAGGAAAUAAUUAUUUUUAGCCCAUGGAACACAAAAUUAUAACUUUUUGGACAACAAUACCCUUCUCUUUUUCAUUAAUUUCACUUCGAAAAUUAAACAAAAUUAAUCAAAAUUCCAGAGAUCUCUCAAUUUCUGCACAAUUAGCAUAAAAUAUUCAUUAAAAAUCAAAAUUUACCUCAACAAAUCAACUCAAAAACUAAGUUCUCUUGUUUUUCCAGGAAAUCAAGCUUAUUUGAUCGCACUUCAAAUUUUUUGGGAAACUGAGUGACAAAAACCCAACAAAAAGAAAUUUUCUCUAUGUUUGAUUUCUAUAUUCAAAGAAGAAAAACAGCAAAAUGAAGAAAAUCCAGAUCAGAUAAAGCAUUCUUGAGAAAGCCAAAGAGAGGAAAUUUUCUGGGGAAACAAACAUGAAGAACAGAAGGGUACCGGGGAAAGCCGAUGAAAGGAAGUGGCUGAUGCCGUCGCUCGAGGGAUGGGACAGCGAGGAUUAGGUGGAAGAUGUGAGGGAUGACGUUGAACUCGUAGGCGGUGGCUCAGGUAAGGUCGAACUCGUCGGAGUGGAUGGGUACGAUUGUCAUUUAAUCUUUCGUUCCAUUUCAGCUUGAACAUACACCAAAUGUAGCAUGGAACCUCCGUUCCGUCCUGUUUCGUCCAGUCUGUGUACUAAACGGUACCUUAUUGAAUGAAAGGAAAAGGCUUCUGCUUGGCUUAAUACCACUUUAGUCCAAUUGUCUUCUUGUUCUAGAAAUUGACAACUCUAUGUGAUGAAAAAACAUCUCAUGCUUAUUGUACGGAUGAAAAGUGCUGCUUUACACUAUUACAUUUAAAGUGAUUAGAAAUUCCGUGAAAAUUUAUAUUAUCUCAUUGCAUUGAUGAACGGGUGAGAUAUAGAGAAACAAAAUUUUAUACUUUCAUCUACUACAUUGAUGCUUAGGCGCACCGAAAGUCACCCAAAACCCUAAAAUUCUCCUCAUGAAUUAUGUGUCUAAUAUUUUUCAGAAGUUGUUAUCAGCACUUGCAAACAGUUUUUUAUGCAUGUCGGUCUGGAAGUUAUCUAUGAGGGGUCAUGAUAAUUAUUUUAAAAUGUUAGUAACAGUUAUCUUUUCUUAUUCUCGGUAGGCGGCUACCUCCCCCACACAGCAGCCCUAAACUCGCCCGUGAUGAGAAGACAUGACAUGUCUUUUGCGAAUGACAGGGAAUUGGACAAAACCAUCCCAUCUUUGUUUCAAUAAUUAUUAUGAAUUAUCGUAUACCGAUUAAUCUGUAAGCAGAUGAGAUAGCUACUCAUUUUCACCAUAAAAGGAAAACAUUUCAUCACAAGAUUGCAGUGCGGACAGAGAGGGUUGUGGUUGUCGUAGAUAAACCUAGGUUUCGUCACAAAACAGGAAAUUGAAUUAAGAACAAAACAAACAGAUUGUGGGUAGGAAAAGACAGAUUUUUUAGUGUGUUGAGAACACUGUUUGGUACACCAAGUAUAAUAAUACAAUUGGUUGGAAACUUGUUAAAAAAAAAAAUUUCCAACUAUUUAUAUCAUAUGGUGUAUUAGACCGUGUUCCCGAUAUCAACGAGAUUUGGAUGUCAUGCAUACAAAUAAAGCCCCUUAUUACUGUCACAUUAUUAUGUCUUGAUAAGAUCUUUAUUUAUUCCCUGCAAGUACCAUAUGAGAAAUGCUAAAGAGACUCUCUAUGGAUUCUCUGUUUGUCACUUCAUGUUUUUGACAUAAUAUUUUAUAAUGUUAGCACCAUAAUUGACUGUAAACUGUAAGGUAAUAUAGAGUAUAUGAAGAGUUCCACUUUAAGAGUGUCUCCUUAGCAUUUCUCAUACCAUAUUCUGACACCAUAGAAAGUAGCCAUUUUUUAUUGUAAGUUUUAGUUUUCACACGUAUUUAUGUUAUGCGAGACAACCGCAAAUAAAUCUUUUUGUAUAUACAACUUUUAUCAAGUUUAAGAGUUAUAAUUAAGAUAUUCCCGGUUGUAUAUAUUUAUAUGUUUUUAGUCAGUAUAAUUGGAGCUCAUCAUUAGUGUGUACGUGAUAGAUAUCCUCGGUUACACGGCAGAAUCUCACAGGAAUGUCAUAGCCAAUAAACUAGGCUCCUAUGCAUCAAUUUUUUAUGUGUGAAGAGAAAACACGAAUAAAUACAUGCAACAAUCUAUUGUUGCUGAUUGUGUACAACUUCAGACUCAUGAAAUUUGUAGCCACUCUACAUAUCUCGUGUGUAAAGUGGUACAUCAAAUGUGUCGAACUUGAUACAUCAAGUGUCAUAAUGCAAUUAAUUAAAAAACAAGAUUUCAAAUCUUUAUUUUCAAGUUUCACAUCUAACAGGGACCCAAUUAUUCUCUUUGGGACUUUUACAGCAACAAAGAAACAACCUCAAUCUACUUGCCCACCAUCCCAUACCUUUUUUUUUUCUUGUCUGGUUUGGUGGUAGGGAAUGAAACUUAUCUACGUUCACUUCUUCUGGUUUGCAGUUGACUGGUUUUUCCAUUAGUGUAAAAACGAAGCUUCAUGGACUGAUGCAGUACAUGGGGAACAAAUAUAUUUAAGGUUUUAGUGACUUCUUAUCUCUUAAAAGCCUUUGUGACCUUUCUUUUAAUUGAAUUGCCUAGUAACUAUCCUACUCUUAAAUAUUUAGUAUACCAAUGUUUGUAAUUUCCCUAUUUAAAGGGCUCCAUAUGUAUCCUUAAAGUGGUGAAAUUAGUGAAUUAAAGUUAAUCUAAGAAGAGAGUGGGCUUUCUCCUCAAAAUCAAGUGUGAGAUUUGGUUGUGUCGAGUGAAUCCACGAUUAGUGACGUGAGUGAAUCCGUUGCCCCUGGUCGAGUGAUUCCCAGGUUCUAUCCCUGUAGAGACGUGAGUGAUUCCGUCCCCCCUAGUUGAGCGAUUCCCAGGUUACUACCCCUUGUCUUUUCGAGACCCAUGGUUUUUUCUGCAUCAAGUGGCAUCAAAUAGAGAUGGCAAUUCAAACCGUUAAACUCGAUAACCGUGUAUAACCGCCUGAGAGAGGAUUUGGGUAUGAAAAUUUGGGUAUAUUAUGGAAAUGGGGAAAAAACGUGAACUUUAAUCGGUUAUGGUUUUGUAUAUGAUUAUAAGGGUCCCCAAUCCAUAUCCGUCCCCAAAUCCGAAUCCGAACCGAAUAAUAUAUAAUAUUAUUUGGUUUAUGUAAUAUAUAUAUAUAUAUAUUGUAUUUGAGUGAAGCUAUACCAUCAUUACCAUAUUCAUUAUUCGCUGCAUAAUGUAUUUAGUAUAUUAUUCGCCGCAUAAUGUAUUACAAAAUUCAUUUAUUGUUAUUGUGGAGCCAAAAAUAAUCAUAGGGCAACACAUGGAUUUUGGUAAAAAGGACAAAGUUACUCCUGAGACACACCGGUUCUCCUACGCCUGAGCAGUGGACAGUCAUUCUUUAAUCAAGCCAAGAGUGUCCAAAAAAGGUAACCAAUUCCAAAUUAUCUCAUCCAUCCUCAUCUUAGGUAAUUACUUCAUAACCUACAAAUUAUUCCAUAUACAUAGAGAUUAAUUGGCUAAUUAAUGGAUUAAUUCCUAAUUAAUCCAUUAAUCACCAAUUAAAUCACCCAUUUUCACACCUAAAACCUCUAAGGCCCGGCCACCUCCAUUCCCUAUAUAUAUGACCCUAUUUUUUCUAAAAAAAGGGUUCCACACUCUUGCAAAACUCCCAAAAACUCUCCAAAAACUUUUAUCUCUAAAUUCUAACUUUGGCAUCGGAGGUUCUUCGGCCAAAGCCUCCCAUUCAUUGUGGGCGGGUGAGGCUCUUGGCCUUGACCUAAGGUGUUAAUUGUUUUGUAGGUUCAAUUUUGUCAGGUGCAAUUUUGUCCAAGAAGAAGAAGGCGGAAAUUUGCAUUCAUAAAUUGGUGUUUUCAUUGAGAGAUGAGUACCACACUCGUAGAAGACUCUCGCAUCCAAGGUUUUCUAUUUUCUUGUCCAUUUGUAGAUUUUUCGUACGUUCUUAUUAUUAGAAUUUUUUAUUUGCAAAAAUUCUUUGAUAAAACGUAAAAGAGAAGUACAAUGGCUAGAAAUUUAAAAAAUUCAACAAAUGAAAAUUUCAACAUUUAAGAGAUGGGACCACGGCGAUUCACGAGGCUAAAUGUGACAAUAAGUGGAGCAGCACCACAACCACAAGUUUCCUCCAUGGGAACCACCGUGGUGGCUGCCUCGGUAGCCACUCGCGGUGAGGUCCAUGGCACCAUUACCGCGGCGAGGUCUAUGGCACCAUUACCACGGCCUGAGUCGUGCCAUUAAAGCAAUCCCAAUACAUGUCACUUCAAGCCCAAUGUGUUGCCAAGCCGAGCCCUAGCCUCGCACCCACAUACGCCACACGCCGAGCAGCCUACUCACGUGGCCCAGCCUGCCCCCAUGGCCGAGCCUGCUCCCGCCGAGUAGCCUACUCCUGUGGCACAACAUGCUCUAUCUAAGCAGCCCAUUCUCGUGGCACAGCCUGCUCCCUUUGAGCAUCUCAUUCUCGUGGCCCAACCUGCUCUCGCAGCUCUGCUUGCUCCCAUAACCCUGCCUGCUCCCAUGAUUUCCCAAGCAGCCCAAGUCGGCUCGAGAAUAUCUCGACCAUCCAGAGCAACCAUCAAGCCGGGGGCAUUUUUACCAUAUUUCUCCACAGAUUUGACAUUUCCCAACUCAAAUCUCAUGCCUAGAGUGUUCCAUACUUCCACUGCUUAAUGAGGCACAUUCUUUCUAAGCUCUUCCAAUCUAAAUGGCGAACAACACUUGUCUCGACAAGUCAUAAAGUUGACGAGCUCCCUUGCACAACAGACGACCUUGAUGAAUCAACUUUUGCAAUGCACCGAGAUCUAACGUGCCUUGGACAAGGUAUCCCUAAGUAGGACAAGGGUAGACGAAUCUUUCCAGCAGCAUCCCGGUAAGCAGCUACUCGACCAGCCACGAGCCGAGCGUUCGGGUAGUGUACAUUUCUGAUUAGGCCCCCAAGAUAGCAUAUACUUCCAUCUUAUAGCACGGAGGAGCGUGCACUCUCGACUAGGCCUGAGGAUAAGUAUACACUCACGAUUGGGGCUACACUUAGAUAAUCAACAUGAGCAGCCUUCCAGGCAAUGCAUUCAUUCGCAGCUAGGCCCGUAAAGAAUAUCAUCCACAUCAUAUCGGAGCAGACAACACAGCAGACGGAAAGAAGCAGUCACUCAAUCCGGCUCAAGUUCAACCAGUAGCCUGUGAGUUACACACUCGCCUGCUAGGAAUAUACCACACCCACCGUAGCCGCGGCAUAGACAAGCCGAACAUAUGGAAGAACAGCUUAGACUAUCACAUCACGAUCAGGGGCAAUCAAGAGCUCUGCCACCCCAACAAAGGAAAAUUCAGGAAGAAGUAGAAAGGCUCCUGACCAAGCGAUUGCGCAAUUUCUCGCGCCAACCAAAGCCUCAAAAGGGCACAAGAUGAAACACCUAAUGAUGGCGCAAUAAUUCAGAGAGCAGCUCAUUGCGUUUACACCUUAACGUGGGUUCCACAAACAGUUCACCAAACAAGACCUCGCAGUCUGAAGAUUAUUUCAGUUGUCUAGCAGUCCAGCUUUCCUCAGCUGCACUCACGACAACGACUUCCAUGAUUUCCAGUGCGAAAGGAUAAACUAAUUGCUCUCCAGUGCGAGAGGGUAAACCAAUUCCCCGACACCCAUAUGGGUUUGCUCUCCAAUGCAAGAAGAUAAACUAAUUGCUCUCCAGUGCGAGAAGGUAAACCAAUUCCUUGACACUCGUAUGGGUUUGCUCUCCAGUGCGAGAGGAUAAACUAAUUGCUCUCCAGUGUGAGAGGGUAAACCAAUUCCUUGACAUUCAUAUAUGUUUGCUUUCCUGUGCGAGAGGAUAAACUAAUUGCUCUCCAGUGCAAGAGGGUAAACUAAUUGCUCUCUAAUGCGAUAGGGUAAACUAAAUCCCUGACAGCCAUUUGGGUAAGCUCUCCAGUGCGAGAAGGCUGCAUAGUUUAAAAGAUCAAAUGCUUGAAGAUCAACUAAGCAACAAAUGGUUAGGGGGCAGCAGCCACUUUUACACUUAAUAGUUCGCUCAUCCGACACUUCAUUUUCAGAAACUCUGAUCUUGGCAGCUUUAUCCUUGACUGCUCCAUCUAUGGCAGUUGAAAAAUCAAACUUAAGCAGUUUCCUCAUAUUUAGCAGGCAGCCCAAACAAUUGCCUAUUCCACGCCACUUCCUCGGCCCAUGUCGAACCAAUCAUUGGCUUCAAUCCAGCCGAGUUGCUCAAGCAAUGGCCCCUGCCACAUCACCUCCUUGGCUCAUGCUAAGCCGACUCUUGGCCCCUGCCAGCUGAUGUGUCGUACCACCCUGAUUACUGCCCUGUGGCAGCACCACCCAAGAAGAAGACAAGAAGAAAUUAAGUUUUUAUUACAUUGGUGCGGCAUAGAGAAGACGAAGAAAGCAACAAAAGACGGUCAUUUGCAUGGGCAAGAUGUAGAAGAUUGCUAAAUGAGGGGGAACAAAUAUCCUCUAAACUCUCUCUCUCUCUUGUAAGGUAGAAUAAAUCACUCUCCAAAGUUGAUUUAAUAACCCACUUAAGGUGGACUUAAAUAGGUUUUGAGAGAAAUUUAUUUCCCUUUCCUAGAAUGAUCUAAUUUCAUAUUAAAGAGGGAUUCUACAUCAAAACAGGAAGCGGUUCUAAGUUUCCUAGAGCAAAAAGAUCUUUACACCUGCUGCCCUUUCUUACGAGUAGCCCAACAGGUGUGGGGGCAUUUGUGGAGCAAAAAAUUAUCACAAGGCAACACGUGGAUUUUUGGUAAAAAGGACAAAGUUACCCCUGAGACACACCGGUUAUCCUACGCGCAAGCAGUGGACAAUCAUUCUUUAAUCAAGCCAAGAGUGUCCAAAAAGGGUAACCAAUUCCAAAUUAUCUCAUCCAUCCUCAUCAUAGGUAAUUACUUCAUAACCUACAAAUUAUUCCAUAUAAAUGGAGAUUAAUUGGCUAAUUAAUGGAUUAAUUCCUAAUUAAUCCAUUAAUCACCAAUUAAAUCACCCAUUUUCACACAAAAAACCUUUAAGGGCCGGCCACCACCAUUCCCUAUAUAUAUGACCCUAUUUUUUUUCUAAAAAAGGGGUUCCACACUCUUGCAAAACUCCCAAAAACUCUCCAAAUACUUUUCUCUCUAAAUUCUAACUUUGGUAUCGGAGGUUCUUCGGCCAAAGCCCCCCCCAUUCAUCGUGGGCGUGUGAGGCCCUUGGCCUUGACCUAAGGUGUUAAUUGUUUUGUAGGUGCAAUUUUGUCCAAUAAGAAAAAGGUGGAAAUUUGCAUCCACAUUUAUGUUUUAUUUAUUUAUUAUUAAACGUGGCUAUUUAAUGACAAAAUUAGUAUUCACUAAAUUAUUGUGCGCCAAUUGGAUGAAUAUAAUUUUUUGUUGUUGACGAAGAUGGAUAUAACCAUUAAUUGAUAGGAAAUCCGUUACCCGGUGGGUAUGGUUAUGGAUAAUUCCCGAUAGUUAUUUUGCAGUUAUGGAUAUGGUUAAUUAUCAUGGUUAUGGAAUAGAUAUAAGAUUUCCGUCCCCAAAUUGAACCGUUGCCAUCCCUAGCAUCAGUGCAGGUUUUCUGCUAUGGAGUUAAAAGGAAAAAAAAAAUCAUGUUGUUGAUUCUACACUUCUCUUCAAAUUUCAGUUCUCUUUGUCCUAAUCACCCAAAAGGUUACCUAUAAUUGGAAAGGUCUGCGAGUCCACUUUCUAACAGAACAGACAGUGCCUCAAUCAAAAUUUUUUUUGCAGCAAUUUGCUAGCAAAUAGUGUAAGGUGUAUGUUUUGUGCAAAAUCUGCAAGGCGCAGUUUCGUUUUCAACGAAGAGAUAUACCAGCAUCUUGUUCCAAUGAAUAAUAAUCAGGUAUAUGAAAACCACUCUAGUAUGAUAUUUAUCGAGGAAGAUCUGUUUUAUUCACAAAGAAUUGAUUGGAAUUUACCUCCACUAUAUGAUGAGUAUUCGGAGGAUGGUGUUUUGAUGAUUCCUAUCCAAACAGGUGCUAACGUUGAAGUGAAUGUUGAAGAACAUGCUUUGAUAGAUAUUUGCAGCUUGGAAAGUUCAGAAUAUGAAGGAUUUGGAUUUUUUCAAGAUGAGAAGAUUGAUAGUCCAAUGUUAAGUUCAUCAAUAAGCUACGGGCAUGUAAAAUUGUGGUCACGGCCAAGUGAUGAAGGAGCUGUUCAAAUUUGCUUUUUAAUUCUCCAGCACAUUGUUAAAGAUCAAGUUUUGGGGACAUUACAACCGAUGGCAUAUCGUUGGGAAGGUCGAAAACCUAAAUUCAAAUUAAGAUUAAAAAGAUACAAACUCGAGGACGAGUUUUUUUCGAGAAGAGUAGAAUCAUGCAGUGCAUGGGGAACAAAUAUAUUUAAGGCUUUAGUGACUUGUCAUCUCUCAAAACCUUUGUGACCUUAUCUUUUGAUUGAAUUGCCUAGUAACUAUCCUACUAUUAAAUAUUUUGUAUACCAAUGCUUUGUAAUUUCCCUAUUUAAAGGGCUCCAAAUGUAUCUUUAAGGUAGUCAAUUAGUGAAUUAAAAAUAAUCCAAGAAGAGAGAGAGUUUUCUCCUUCCUUAAAAUCCAGUGUGAGACUUGGUCGUAUCGAGAAGAAGAAAAUGAUGCAAUGCAUGGAGAACAAACACAUUUAAGGCUUCGUGGUUUCUCAUCUUCCAAAACUUUCUGUCACCUUCUCUUUUAUGAGUUGCCUGCCUAGUAACGAUCCUAUUAUUAAAUAUUUAAUCUACCAAUGCUUUGUAAUCUCCCUAUUUAAGGGCUCCAAAUGUAUCUUUAAGGUAGUCAAUUAGUGAAUUAAAACUAAUCCAAGAAGAGAGUGAGUUUUCUCAUUCCUUAAAAUCAAGUGUGAGACUUGGUCGUGUCGAGUGAAUCCACGGUUAGCGACAUGAGUAAUUAUGUUGCCCCUAGUCGAGUGAUUCCCAGGUUCUACCCAUAGAGAAGUCGAGUGAAUCCAUUGCCAUUGGUUAAGUGAUUUCCAGUUACCCCUUGUCUUUUCGAGACCCUUGGUCUUUUCUACGUCAAGUGGCAUCAUAGUAGGUUUUUCGCUGCAGUUAAAGAUCAUGGCUAUGAUUAUCAAUCCGUUUCAAGAUCACAUCGUUGAAGAGAUUAGUUUUGUCAAUUGAAAUUCUCCGCCAAUUUAUGACAAAUAUGUUGAUGACGAUGAGUUUACUGUUGAUGUGGCUCAUCAAGGAGUUUAUCUGCUGCUAGGAGAUGAAGGCUUUGUGGAUUGGGGUUAUCCACAUAAUAUGAGUACAAUGGCGGAAACAUUUUACAUGUAGCUUCAUAAAGAGGAACUAAGGUGUACUUGCUUUGGAAUAACAUGGAAGCGGAGUUCAAAGGAAUAUUUUGUGUGACAGAACAACUUGGACUGCUCUGGAUUUGCUUUUGCUAUUGUGGCUGUUGUGGAAAAAAAUUGAAAGGUAUCCAAAAGAUCGAGGAAAACAAAAUCAAAGGAAACUCGAGGACGAGUUUUUGUUCGAGAAGAGGAAAAUGAUGCAGUGCAUGGAGAACAAAUAUAUUUAAGGUUUUCGUGGCUUCUCAUCUCCCAAAACCUUUGUGACCCUCCCUUUUAAUUGAAUUGCCUAAGUAACUAUCCUACUCUUAAAUAUUUAGUAUACCAAUGCUUUGUAAUUUCCCUAUUUAAAGGGCUCCAUAUGUAUCCUUAAAGUAGUGAAAUUAGUGAAUUAAAGUUAAUCUAAGAAGAGAGUGAGUUUUUUCCUCCUUAAAAUCAAGUGUGAGACUUGGUUGUGUCGGAUGAAUACACGAUGAACGACGUGAGUGAAUUCGUUGCCCCUAGUCGAGUGAUUCCCAAGUUUUAUUCCCAUAGAGACGUAAGUGAUUCCGUCCCCUCUGGAUGAAUGAUUCUCAGAUUACUACCCCUUUAUCUUUUCGAGACCCUUGGUCUUUUUGCAUCAUGGACCCCAAGUUAUAAUAUUCCUAAAAUAGUCAUUCCAAUUUGUCUUGUCAAUCACAAUUAAUUUGUUGAGCUAAUUUUGUUGUGUACGUGUAAAAUAAGCCAAUCAGUGUCCUUUUUAUAUCUAAAAAAUUGUAUAAUCCUACAGAGAAUAUUUAUAUUAGGCCUCAGCAAUUGAUAUAAAAGGCAACCUGUAUGAACACAUUCUUAGAGUCAAUAAUAGCAGAGCUUCUUAGAGGGGAAAGUAGAUAGGUUGUAAAACAAUGUCCUGGUUUCUUACAGUCAUCUUUCUGGUCACUACUCUUACAUUUCAUACUCCUUCAGAGGCUAUCUAUGAGGAGAUUCCAGCCUUCUGCAGUAGUUGUGGGAACUGUCUACUGUGACACAUGUUUCCAAGAGGAUUUCUCAAAUACCAGCCAUUUCAUUUCAGGUAAAUUCAUCUCAAAUUUUCAACAAGUUCUUCAUCAAGUUUUAUUUUUCUAUUGUAGCCAGUUCAAUAAUUUCCAUACACCCCUUCUCUUCUUCUAUACACACUCAUGUUUAUAUUUUAAUCAUUAAAUUUGAAUAAAUCAGAGAAAAAUUAAAAGAAGGAAAUAAACAAAAGUGUACAAAUGGAGAAAAUGUAAAAUCUAAAUUGACUGAAAACCUUUAUACAGGUAUUUCCUACGAGUCAACCAUACAACUACGAAAAAUUAAUUAACACAAAUCAACAGCAAAAAAAAUCUCACUUAAACUAAUUCCUUGACGGUAGGAUUCUGCUUUCAAUCACGAUUUCUUUCCAACAGACAACAAAACGUUGGAAGUUAUGUCAUCGUAACUUGUCAUUUUAUUGUCAGUCAACAAAACUUCCUGACAUGAUAUGGAUGCAUUAUCCAUCAAUAAUCUUGUGGGGGUUUUUGUGCAGGGGCUUCUGUUGGUGUGGAAUGCAAAGAUGGGACUUUAACAAAACAAAGUUUCAACGCACAAGUGAAAACAAACAGCCAUGGGCAGUUCAAAGUCCAUCUGCCCUUCUCAGUGAGCAAAGAUGUCAAGAAAAUUGAAGGAUGCUCCGUGAAACUAAUCCGCAGCAGUGAACCCUACUGUGCUGUGGCCUCAUCAGCCACCUCAUCUUCCCUACACCUCAAGGCAACAAAACAAGGGACUUACAUAUUCUCUGCUGGUUUCUUCACCUUCAAGCCUCUCAAGCAACCCAGCUUAUGCAACCAGAAACCCAACAUUCAGAAUUCCAAGAAAUUAAAUUCCCAGAAGUUCUCAGAGAUGGCAUUCCCAUCCUCCUCUCAGGUGGACCCCAAAAUGCCUGAUCCCUCUCUCAACCAAUCUGAUCUCCUAGGUCUCCCAGGUCUCCCAGGUCUCCCAGGUCUCCCAGGACUCCCAGGUCUCCCAGGUCUCCCAGGACUCCCAGGACUCCCAGGACUCCCAGGUCUCCCAGGCCUCCCAGGACUUCCAGGCCUGCCCCUUGCUGCUGAAAAAACUUCAUCCAAGUCCUCCAACUCCAAAACUUCAAGGAAUGGGCAACUAGGUGAUAAUAAAGAAGUCAGCCCAUCCAGAUUCUCCACCAGCAGGUUCAGCACCAUGAUUCCCAACCUACCACCUAUCCUGAUUUCUGUUGGGUUCCUAUCCUAUUGGGCGUAACCCGUUUAAGUAGAAUAAGCCCAUUUAGGUCUUCUGAGUUGUGGUUUCCUGAAGUUCUAUGUAUUUAGGUCUCUUCCUUCUCUUUCGAGAAUUAUGUGAAAUAUUGAAUGUUUAAGUUUUAUCUGCUUUUCCCAUUUUCUCUCUACUUUUCCCUCUUUCUUCUCUAACGAGAAUGUGUCGUUCAUAGACAGCUACAAGUACGGUAAUAUAAUACGAUUCAAUUAUUAGUUAAAUACAAUGAUUAUAUCGUUGAAACUUAAAAUUUCAAGAUAAGAGAUUCAAAGAUAAUAUAAUAUAUAUAUAUAUAUAUAUAUAUAUAUAUAUAUAUAUAAUAUUAUAUAUAUCAAUUAUUGUUGAAUCUUACCCAAGGAUGAAAAAGGGUAUGGGUAUUCUUUGCAGGGGUGGAAAAACAGAAGUGGGUCGGCCAUGCUUUUACUAUGUGGGCCCCUUAGAGAAAACCUGCUAAAAAUGAACCGUUUCAACAGAAGGAGGCAAAUAGCUGUACGGAACGACGACGUCCCUGAAUUAAGGUCAUCUUCUUCGAGUGCGGACGAGCCGUAUCACAUACCUUUCCUGUUUCCAUCGAGUUUGAUCUACUUCAACUUCUGUUUCGACAGAGUAGCAGGGUAAUGAUUUUGGGAAAAAAAUUUAAGGUUAGGGUUUUGGAGAAUAAUUUUGUGACUAGGGUUUUAGGGUUUUGGAUUGUUUUCACAAAAUCAUUCUCCACUGGUGAAAUAAAUCACCAUAAUAAUAGCAGUAGGCUAUGAUUUUAACUUAAUCAGUACCCAAAUGUAAAAUUUUAUGCUUAUUUCCGCAAAUACUAUUAACAAUUUAACAUGGAGUUUUAAUUUUUUAUGAAAUUUUUGUAGUUGAUUGGGUUUGUAUGAUGAAUAUUAGUGUUUUGAGCCACACUUGUUAGUCCAACUUCAAGCAAAUUUGCAAUCAGCAAGUCCAUUCUCUCUAGCUGCGACCUUCCUUGCAAAGGGAGGAAUCUUAACAGAGUCUUCAACCCUUCCCCAAAAGCUAUGAAUAAAGUCUUUAGCGACGACGGUCCAAUUAAGCACUCUAACUUUGGCCUUAUUGGUAUCGGAACGGGCCUCCCUGGAUCAGUGACAGCCGCCGCAGCUUCUACUGCCGUAAAAACUGUUCUUCACGUACCUUGACACUAACCACUUUUAUGGUGACUACUGCGCCUUUCUUCCCAUUGAUGAUUUGACUGUCUACCUAAAUUCUCAUGCUUCCCAACCCUCCGCCACUACUACCACCAAUUUCACCUCUACAAGUACAAGCCAUGAUGAUUGCAUCGCCUUACCCCUCACCCGCCAGUUGCUGUACGCCGAUACAGAGACCGUUACAUAUGCCCCUUAAGUCCUUGCACAAUAUAAUAGAAGCAAACCUCGGUCAAAUAAUAUAAACUUGAACUCCAUUUUGAGCAUUGUGAGAUAAGGGAAUGUGCUAGAAACUAUUAUGUUAAAUUCAUUCUUAUUAAACCUUUCAAAUAUGUGAUGUUUAUUAAUAAGCAUUUUAGGAAUAUCUAUGACUAUGUUUUUAGAUUGUUUGUACCAUACUUGACCAAUCCCGACACUACUAAGCACCGGUCAACGUUAUACCGUCAAGGACCUAGAAGAGUUUCCCUCCAACCAGGAGGCCAAUCACAGCGCGACACGUGUUGACAUCAGAAGCCAAUCAUAGCGCGACACGUGUCAACAUAAGAAGCCAAUCACAACACGACACGUGUUAAUGUCAGAAUGAAACUAGAAACUCUCUUCUAUAAAUAGAGAUCAUUCUCUCACAAUAUUUCCUAAUGUCAUUUGUACUAAAUCAUUCACUAGUACUCACUAAAGGAGAGCUUGAACCUAUGUACUUGUGUAAACCCUUCACAAUUAAUGAGAACUCAUCUACUCCGUGGACGUAGCCAAUCUGGGUGAACCACGUACAUCUUGUGUUUGCUUUCCUGUCUCUAUCCAUUUACAUACUUAUCCACACUAGUGACUGGAGCAAUCUAGCAAAGGCCACAAACUUAACACUUUCUGUUGUACCAAAGUCCUCACCGAUUUUGUGCAUCAACAUUUGGCGCCGUCUGUGGGAACGACACUUAUUCUCACUCUCUUCAGCUUUGUUAAGCUGGUUUCCACCAUUUGUACACUCUCUUUUGACCAGGCAUCCCUCUCCAACAUGGGGAGCGACGGAAGCCACAACACACAGAAUGACACCCUUCUUGCACCUAGUGUGAAGCAACGAAAGAAGGAAGGAAAGAGGGUUGCUUUUCAAGCUAAAGUCGAUGAGCUAGAAUCUUAAAACAACAAGAUAGCAAUGAAGAAUGAGGUCCUCCAAGAGCAGUAUGAGAAGCUCUUUAAGAUGCUCCACGAAACUAGGCGUACUCAAACACGCGAACUCGUUACCCCUGUGGACAUCAACCAUCAUCUGGAUACCUCCCAACAAGGAGGGUCACCUUCCUUCGACAUGGGUAUCCCUGAUGAGGAGCGAGCUAAUCAUCAAAACAUUGAUCAACAUGAGACUUCUUUCAACUCAGAUGCUUCGACCCGAAACAGGAGAAGUGGAGGAAGACACCUUUUUGCAGAAAGGUUGGAAGGAUCGAAAUCCAUUUAUCAUGACUGCCGAGACUUCCUAAAGCAACGUCAAGAGAAUCUCCUCCACAUAAGCUCGAAGAUCAAUGACCCAAGGGUUUCUGAAAGACUUGGUCCCCUCCCACGUCCCAGGCCGGCUACCAAUUUGGGGAAAGGGCAACAAGUCCUAGAGAAACACGAAGGUAUAGGGGGCUCAGAGAUGUUUCGACAGACAUACCUUGAAAGUCAGUACGGCGAGUCCAAGGAAAAAUCACAUGCUCUUGAUCAAACCUUCAUACUUCCAAGAGGAGAUGAACAUUUACGAAAGAAAGCUCAAGUGGUACAUGACUCCACUCAAGACCUUCUUGUCAUACAGCUUCUUAAGGAAGUAAACAAGUUGAAGGCCGAACGACAAGCUGAGAUACCUGAUUGGAACCAACCUAGGCCUGGCCCUCUUACAAGGAGGAUCCUCGACACCCCCUCCAAACAAAGACAAAGCAGAAGCUUGGCUUGCAACUCUAUACUGGAAAAGAGGACCCGAUUGAACACCUUAACCUCUUUGAGUCCACCAUGGCAUACCGGAUGCAUACCAACGAAGAGCGAUGUCUUCUCUUCCCCUCCACCCUCUCUGGCGGAGCUCUAAACUGGUAUUGUCGUCUUCCACCUGAGACGGUAGACUCAUUUGAGGAAUUGAGGAAACUGUUUGUUUCUCAACACAUUUUUCAGACUGAUCGCUUACAUUUUGCAGAUGACUUGUACACUAUUCGCCAGAAGCCGGACGAGUCACUACGAGAGUAUGCCAAUCGCUUUAGCCAUGAGUAUUCUCGAUGCGCUGAGGUAGAUGACAAGAUCGCCCUCAAGGUCUUCACGGCAAGCCUUCGUGAUUGUUUCUUCAAGUACAUGAUCAAUGCCAACACUUGGAAGACUUACUCUGAGGUGAUGGCAUAGGCUUACAACCAUGCAUCCGCCGAGGCAAGGACAUAUCAAGGGAAACCCCCCACAGCCACCCCUUAUCAGCAAGUAGGGAGUGGAAGCCAGAUCCAACCAAAUGAGAAGACCUCGACCUUCCAAACAGCAGCGGUGCCUCCCUCUGCCUUACUUAAUAUUUUGCCAAGUCAACAGACAUAUCAAUCUCAGGGCAAAAGGAAAGAUUUCUAUCCUCACCAGUCUCAUUUUAGUAAAAUGAGUAAGGGACACUACCGCGAUAACCAAGGGUAUCACCACGAUAAUCCCCGACCCCAGGCAGUCAACACAGUGGGUCAAGCACGUGUCCGGAUAGCCCAUACCCCGAGGUAUGAGGCAUACACACCUUUGAACGCCACAUGCGUGGCCAUUUACCCCAGCAUAGCACACCUGAUACCGAAGCCAAAGCCGAGGCACCUGGAUUACAAGUCCACGAAGAACACAGGCACAUUUUGUUGCUACCACGAGUAUAACGGCCAUGACGGUGAAAAGUGUAUCACCCUUCGAGAUCAUAUUGAAGCUUUGGCAUGUGAAGGAAAAAUUGAUCAAUUCCUCAUUCACUCUUCAAGGGGUAACCGUAACCAACCCCAGGUGAAUGUGAUAUAUUCCAUAAGUGGUGACACACCCAUAUCUAAAUCUUCCAACAGGGCCAUGAAAAAUAGUGAACGAGCUUUAAGGUAUGGCCACCAAGUGUUUCACGUGGAAGACAUUAGGGGAGGCAAGCAUCAAAAGCCUAACUGGGAUCUAAUAUGUUUCUACCUUGAGGAAGAAAGAGGUAUCAUCUACCCUCACCACGACCCAUUGAUCGUGGAAGCUCACAUAACCAACUUUAAAGUACGACGAAUCCUAGUAGACACGGGGGCUUCGGUCAAUAUCAUGUUUGCCGAAGUUUUCAGGGCACUUAAUGUAGCUGAACACUUGCUCGAUCGCUCGAUUUCCCUUCUGAUAAGCUUCUCCGGUGAUAUCGUGCAACCUUUAGGGAGCAUACACUUACCUUUCACCAUUGGUACAUACCUUUACACAUCUACCAUUACCACUAACUUCCUGGUGGUUGAUUGCCCAACGACAUACAAUGUCAUCUUGGGACGCACAUGCAUCAAUGAUCUCAAGGCCAUGGUAUCCAUAUAUAUGUUGUUGAUAAAAUUUCCAACCCACUAUGGCAAUGGUUACAUCAGAGGAGAUCAACUUAGUUCACGAUCAUGUUACAACACUUCGGUCAAGCAACAACACCUGCAUGUGCCCAAGGAAACCCUUUCUAUACAUGACCAAGUCAUAAAAACCAGCCCAGACGAAGCCAACUUGGAUCUUCACGGUGGCAACAGUCAACCCGAUGAUCCUCGAGAUGACUUUUUUACCCAGCAAGCACAACCCACUGAAGAGUUGGAGAAGGUCUCUAUAUUAAAAGAUUAUCCGGAUCGCAUGGUGAAGAUUGGCACCACCUUGUCACUACCCAUUCGGUUGGCAUUGAUCUCUUUUUUGCAAGAGAACACUGAGGUUUUCGCCUGGUCAUACGAGGACAUGCCAAGCGUCUCUCCCGAUAUCAUUUGUCAUCGCUUAAGUAUUGACCCCAAAACCAAGCCAGUGAGACAGAAGCGAAGAUCCUAUGACGUUGAAUUUGUAGGAGACAAUGAAGGCAGAAGUUGAAAAAGUCAAAGGCAUAGGCUUCGUCCGCGAAGUCAAUUAUCCAAUGUGGGUAGCAAAUGUUGUCCUUGUUAAGAAGAAUCCGACCAAGGAAAGUCUCCUACUCCAAAAGGUCUUGUGGAGAAUGUGUGUCGAUUACACCGACCUAAACAAAGGAUGCCCGAAUGAUAGCUUUCCUCUUCCUCUCAUAAAUAUACUUAUAGACUCUACAACAGGGUGUGAACUCCUGAGCUUCAUGGAUGCUUACUCAGGAUACAACCAAAUCCUUAUGAACCCUCUGAACCAAGAACACACAACCUUCACUACUGACAGGGGACUAUAUUCACUAGUACAAAAACAUGUUUGCGCGACGAAAACUUACGCGACGCAUAAAAUUACGUCGCGCAAAGCCGUUUUGCACGACGUAGGUGUACGUACGUCGCGCAAAACGUCUUUGCGCGACGUAAUUUUACGCGAUGCUGUCCUUCGUCGCGUAAACUUUUGGUGCCAAACCAAAAGAAUUUACCGUUUUUUCCCAACUUUGUGCGACGCAUGCCCACUUACGUCGCGCAAAGUUGUUUUGCGCGACGUAGGUGGGGAUGCGUCGCGCAAAGUCAACAACUUUUUUUCUUUUCAUUUGAUCAGUUUGGGAGGCAGAAACUGCAUACCUAGCUGCAGCAACUACCUCCAUUGCCCAUCUCUCUCUUCAAAACCGUCUACCAGAUCAGGUUUGAAGUUUGAAUUGAUAUCAAUUCUUUGUAUUUUUUCGAUUGCAAUCCUUCCCCUUUGCUCUUAAACAUGAUGUAAACUGAAUUAAUAAUAUGUAGAUCCUUCAUGUGAUUCAUUUACGAAAUUGAAAUUGCAAAAUCAAAGGAGAUAACUAUCUUGCUGAUUUUCUUUUUCUCUAUACACCAGAUCUCUUCUUUCUGUAGCGACUUAUUUGUUCGUACAUAAAAGCAGAGGUGAUAAAUUAGUUGGGGAAGACAAAUAGGCUUAUAUCCAGGUGAGGAGGACCCUGAGCACAGCUUAAGAAAUUACUAGGAAUAGCAUUGUGAGGCCUAAAUGUCAAUUGGCCAGGACUCCAUACAUGCGCAAUUUUGGUCUUUAGUAAAAACAUCUAAAUGAUGAUGGGUAUGUCCUUGAUGAAGUACCCGGUUAGCUGUUUUUACGAAGGACAAAAUACCGUAUAUGUAUGGAUUCAAACGCCACCAUCAAAUGGAUAAGAAAUUAGCGUCCAAUCCAUCGAAGCAAUUCAUGAUGUCUCCAACAUGUUGGAAGAUUUAAUUGGCAAUGGGAAGUUAGACCCAUUGAGAUGACGAAGAUGGUUUUCUCACGACGUUAAGAGUAGAAGUGUCAUCUUGAGCUCCUAAUCAAUUGUUAUAUUCCUACUGUAUAUGGUUAAUUUAUGUCUCCACCACUCAUGUAUCAUUCUUUGCAUGCGAUCCAAAAAUAAGGAUUCAAUGACCAAAAAACAUGGUUGUUGCAAAUUCAUCCAAAUUCAUGGGAAAUAAAUUAUGCUUAUAUCUUUCUCAUGAUGUGUACAUAUUAUUGAAUUGAUCUAUUCAUUUGUCAAAAAAGUGAACUAGUCGUGUUUAAUUACAUCAAAUUUGUCAAGCUGAUGUUGCCUAGCUGGUAUUCGUGUCGCCUACUUGCCAAUACGUUGAAAAUACACUCACUACUUGCAUAGAAUUUCAUAAUUGUAGGUUGUAUUUGGCUUGGAGACAUUGUGUUUUUACUUUCUUUACCAUAUUUUGGUUCAGAAAACCAGCAGUUCCGAUGACUGGAGGAAAGUCACUCUUCAGCUGGUACUCACAUUAGUUACGCGAACAAGAGCUACUGCUUACGUAAGGUUAAUGAUGGUGCUUGUCUUACUAACAGUUUCACAAUAAGUGAAUCCGUGAUAGGUGACAUGGUUUUCUGAUAAGUUGCAGUCUUUUGGAUAUUAUGCAAGCUAUUGCAGAUAUGAAUGGUGCAGAUAUUCGUCUUACUCUUCAAUCAUUCAACAGCCACUGAGCACAGCUUAAGAAAUUACUAGGAACAAGAGCACGGCUUAGCGGCCUUCUUUUAGUGUAGAUAAUAUCAUUUGUUAGAGAAAUUUUUUAUAUAUAUAUAACAAGGAAGAAAAUGAAAGAGGACAAAUAAUAAGAGAGCAGACACACGAUCGCCUACAAACUUCCAUGUAAACCCAGCCUGCUUUAUUCGUUUUUUCAGACCGAUUAAACAAAGCACAGAACUUAUUCCUCCUUUUUUAAUCCCUUAUUAAUCCCAAGUCUAUGUCUUAAGACAUUCUUUAUCUUCAACUACUUGCAUGUUUGACAUAUCUUAAUAAUAUUUCGUGUGUAACAUUUAGCUCUGAGUACUUAUCAAACAGACAUUAAGAUGCUGCCAAUCCUCAGACUGCAGCCUAUCAUCAUUUGAACACUUGUUCAAGUUUACAGUUUUGAUCCCCUGUCAACACCUACUCCCUUCUUUGUUUUGAUCCAACACCUUAUUUCAAAUCUGCAAAUAGUCACUUGCUAAGAGAAUGAGCAAUGUAACUGUUGCAUUUAGAAGUCGGAUUGUGUCAGUCGAGUGUAAGCAGGCAAUGAGCCUUUUAGUAACGCCAUCUUCUUAUGUUCAUAGAAGUCAGCAGUCUGCAAGUUUAAGCACCUUGUUUGUACAGUUUUACGUUUGUGUACCUAGUUCCAUUCAUAAGUCAGAUUUUAUCAGUUGAUUGCAAAUGCAAUCAGCAAGCAGAAUAUGUCAAUGUAUUUAGUAACAAAUGUCUCAUGCUUAGUAAAUGACUUGCGUAUUAUCUUCGUAAAUUGGCUUUCAUAACUUGUAUAAGAUUAGCAGCAUCCAUAAAUUUCUGUAGGGAAAGUUUUGAAAUUGGAUUUGUGCAUGAUAUGGGAAUUUGUGAGGAUGUAUGUUUGCUCUUGUUGUCUGUGGUCCUCCCCUGCCUUUUUCUUUAGGUUUGGUUAAAGUCUAAGCUACAUCUCUUUCUUAUUAUAAGUCGCAUGCAGAGAGAGAAGAUGAUGACGAUGGUCCUGUAUGUAUAUAUAUAUAGCUACCUCUUCUUUAUUUUUAUGAUUAUAUGAUUACUAAUUAGUCAUUUUACGUUGAUCAUAUUGAUUAAUCUAGAAUGUUAAAUCUAGUAUAUUGUUCUUGCAGACUUGUAUUUUGAAGGUGAGCAUAUGUUGUUUAGGGGGUUCCAAGCUAUGGCCACCCCACUUCACUAAGCUGUGGCCUCCCAAGUUCAUAAAAACAAAGACGGCUAUUACAUGUUGCAAAGGAUGUGCUCACAAAAUCAAGAAGAAAUUGCAGAACUUAACGGUACAAAAUCAGUUUUUUACUUCCCUCUUGCAGUUGAUCAUCAAAUUAGGAAUAUCUGCACAGAUAAAACCGGUUAAAAAUUCUUAACAAAAAUUAAACUAGGAAACGAUUUUAUUAGAACUUUGUAAUUGGUUCUGUUUGUUCUUAUGGUAUUAGUUUGUUUCUUUUCACUUGUUACUGCCUUUUGUAAUCAACUUUUUCACUGUCAUUAUUUACUCUGAUUGGUGAUGACAGAGGCAUGGCUAUUGUAUCUCAUAUAAGAGGAGAACUAAUAAGGAGAACUAAGGACUAAAUUAAGAGAUAGAUACGUAAAGUGAAAUAAAGGGUGCAUAAAUCACUUUAUAUUAAAAUGAAGUCUAAGAGACAUUUAACUACAUUUGAGAUGUCACAGUGUACAUAAAUCACUUUAUUUUCUUCGCUAAAUUAAUUUUUAUUAAUUUUAUCUAUUUUAUUUAGUUUUAGUAAUUAUUGUGAUUUAGUUUAUUUGUAUGCACAUAUUUUUGUACAUCACCUACAAAAUUGUUUUGUGUUGUACUAAGUUAAUACUACUUAACUUCAUACCCUUUUCUCAGGAAAAGCUUAGUUUCCCGUUUGAGAAUUAGUUGGAUUUCGUGCAUGGAUGUGAAAGCAUGACUGCGGUCCAAUUAAUUAUUGAAUUGUCCCAUUUUUUGGACAGUUUGGGAAUGCCCUAGUUAUGUGUUGUAGUUUGCGGUCCACAGAUUAGCUUUCGAUAGUGGAAAUUUUGGUAACAUUUCCCGAUGUUCUUUGAGUACACGGUGGAUAUUAUGUAUCUACGACGUGCACUUGAAGAACUGUAAGGAGAUGCUGGGAAAUUAGCCCACGUCGAAAUUUAAUCCAUUGGAAUCGUAAAUUACGGCACAUAACUGUGCAUUCUUGAAUGGGAUAGGGCCCUGACCAGAGGAAUAAGGUGACAAGACAAUAGUUUUCAUGUCCUAAUCUGUCUCAUAAUUUGCUUCAAUUGUACUUAAUUCCAAUUUUUGAAUAAAAUGAAUGAAUGCCAGCAGCGGUGUAGAUUUUCAAUGGCAUCCAAUUUCAUAUAGUUUAAUUAGUUAUAUCUCCAUUUACCUAUAUACCUAUUCAUUCCAAUUUUAUAUGAUCGCUUGAUGCAAAACUUUUCUAGAUAUUAUUAGUUGUAGCAGUUGCAUCUCUUAAAGAUCUAUACAACUUAUUCUCACUGGUUCACGGUGGAUUUUGCAGUUACUUCUCGAGCGUGGGGAAGCACGAAGGGUUAUUCCUUGGUAACACAUUUAUAAGGAUUCCGUUGUAGACGUUGUUGUAAUUCUUGUACUUUUAUUCGGAUUGCAGACAAAAUGGACAAACAGUGGAUACAUAAUCAUAAUAGAUGUGUUGUUGAGUACUUGGAUGGAAUACAUGCGUUCAUUGAAUUCGCAACUAGACAUAACCUAGGUUCAACUCAUAUCCGAUGUCCAUGUAGGAGGUGUAACAACUCAACGUGGGAGACAUUCAAGAAUGUUUGAUUUCAUUUAGUAAGAAAUGGGAUGAUGGAGACCUAUACUACUUGGUGUCAUCAUGGAGAACGAUUAGACCAAGCUUCGUCUUCAUACGUGACACGAGUGGAAACUGUUGAAUCAAAUGUGGAUCCUAAUGAACAAGUUAUGAAUAUUCUAAAUGACGUUUAUUCAUACGCCUCGAGCAACACCAAUCAGGAAGAGGGAGAAGAGGGAGAUGACGGCCGUCCAACCAUGGACAGUGAGGCAUUCAAAAACUACGAAAAACUAUUGAAAAAUGCCAAGCAAGAAUUAUAUCCAGGUUGUGAGAACUUUUCAAUGCUCACAACAAUUGUGGAGUUGAUGCAUGGCAAGAUCAAGUUUCGUUUGUCAAACAAGUGUUUUGAUUACUUUUUGGGAGUUAUCAAAAGGAUGGUUCCAAAGGAGAAUUGUUUACCUAAAGAUCAUAAAAGUGCCCAAAAAGUGUUGAAGGGUCUCGGAUUGGGGUAUGAAAAAAUUCAUGCAUGUGUAAAUAAUUGUAUAUUGUUCUAUAAGGAGAACAAAGCAUUGGAUAAAUGCCCUGUCUGCAAUGAGCCGAGGUUUAAAAUGACAUCACAGAAUAGAAACACCAAGAUUCCACAAAAAGUAAUGCGCUAUCUUCCAUUGAAGCCUAGGUUGCAGCGAUUGUACAUGUCGAUGCAUACCGCAACCGACAUGAGAUGGCAUAAAGAAGGAUGGGUAAAUGACGAUGUUAUGAGGCAUCAUGCAUAUGGAGAGGCAUGGAAAGAAUUCGAUCGGAUGUACCCUGAUUUUGCAGCUGACCCGCGCAACGUCAGAUUGGGACUUGCCACCGAUGGAUUUAAUCUGUUCGGGGUUUUAAACCUAAUGCACAACACUUGGCCGGUCAUCGUGUUUCCUUAUAAUUUGCCACCUUGGAAGUGCAUGAAAAAAGAAUACAUGAUGUUAAUUCUAUUAAUUAACAAAGAUCCAGGAAAGUCCAUUGAUGUUUAUUUGCGGCCGUUGGUUGAUGAGCUAAAAGAUUUAUGGGAAAACGAUGUUUGUACAUACGAUAAAUAUACUGGGCAGAUGUUCACCAUGCGAGCGGCAGUGAUGUGGACAAUAAAUGAUUUUCCCGCUUAUGCAAUGGUUUCUAGAUAGAUGACUAAGGGUUAUUUGGCAUGUCCAAUAUGCAAGGAGAACGUAACAUCAUCUUGGCAUGCAAGAAAAGUUUGUUAUCUUGGUCAUCGUAGAUGGCUCCCUUGGGACAACGAGUGGCGUCAGAAUGAUAAAUCCUUCGACAGCACAAAAGAAACUCGGCCAAGACCAAGAGAAUAAUCCAGAGAUGAGAUUUUGGAUCAGUUAAACCGUUUGGAAUUUGGUCAUUUCGGCAAAGGGGUCAGUAACCCCAAACCAACUACACAUCUGAACUGGACACACAAGAGUAUGUUAUUUGAGCUUCUGUAUUGGUCAAAGUUAAAAUUGAGACGCAACCUCGAUGUUAUGCAUAUUGAGAAAAAUGUGUUUGACACUUUGAUCGGGACAAUUCUAGACAUUGAAAGAAAAACAAAAGACACGAUCGAAGCUCGCCUCGAUUUGGAACGAAUGGGUAUUAGGUCAUCCUUGUGGAUGAAGAAUGUCGGUGGUACAUUGAAGAAAGGCCAUCCCUUUUUUACAUUUAAGCCGAAUGGGAAAAAAGAGUUUUUCAACUUUAUUUCUUCUGUAAAGUUUCCAGAUGGGUAUGCUUCCAAUAUCUCGCGUUGUGUGAACGUGAAGGGGUGUAAAUUUCAAAACAUGAAGAGUCAUGAAUGUCAUGUGAUACUCCAACGCCUUCUUCCAGUUGGUAUUCGACACUUAUUGCCUCUUGAUGUGGUGAAACCAAUCGUGUUGUUGUCGAGAUUUUUUUCGCAGUUGACUGCAAGGUGUUUGUGGAAGUCAGAUGUUAAACAAUUGCAGGACGACAUAGUGAACGUCUUAUGCAAGUUCGAACAGAUAUUUCCCCCAGCUUUCUUUACAAGUAUGAUUCACGUGAUGAUUCACUUGCCAGAUGAGGCAUUGCUUGCCGGACCAGUGAACUGUCGAUGGAUGUAUCCAAUAGAAAGGUACUUAAUUAAGCGUCUAUAUAUAUAUAUAUAUAUAUAUAUAUAUAUAUAUAUAUAUAUAUAUAUAUAUAUAUAACAUAUUCAUGAUCAACGAACGCUUUGAAUAAUUUGUAGCAUACCUUUUAUUUGUGCAUAUAUCUUGGUGAGUUGAAAACUUGUGUUCGAAACAAGGCAAAGCCCGAAGGAUCACUUGUGGAUGCAUGGGUCACAUAUGAGUCACUUACUUUUUGUGCAAUGUAUCUUGAAGAUGUUGAGACAGCUUUCAAUCGUCCAGAACACAAUAAUGAUGGUGGUGUCAGAAAAGAGAAACUGUCUAUUUUUCCCCAAAUUGCACGACCAUUCGGCGAUCCUGUAAAAGACGAAUCGUUUACCAAAAAGGACAUGGAGGUAGCGCAUUGGUUCAUACUCAACAAUUGUGACGAGGCUUUGCCAUACCUUGAAGAGCAUGAACAAUUGAUGAAGCGGGAACAUCCUUCACAUUUAUAUGCCAAGAAGCACCGUGACUUGUUUCCUUCGUGGUUUCAUGCACAUGUAAGUUGUAUGUGGUUUGAAUUGAGCAUAUUUUCCAACUUGUUCAUGCCCGUCUUUAAAUUUGGUUAUACUAACAAGUUAAUUUUUUGUAUAUGUUAUAUUAGAUGAACAAAUUGAAGGAAUUGAAUUCACCCUCUUACGAUGAAGAAUUAUAUAACUUGGCGAGAUGACCGCUUCACGUUGAAUUGUUCUCAGGUUGUCAUGUCAACGGGAUCAAGUUCUUGGGGGAAACACGUGAUGACAAGUUGUCUACUUAAAAUAGUGGUGUCCAUGUCCCAGGUGCGGGUGAUAGUGAAGACAUUGAUUUUUUUGGCAAACUAACUAGUGUAGUACAAUUGCUUUACAAAGAUAGGUGUCAAGUGAUAUUGUUUAAGUGUCUUUGGUUUGAUACAAACCCACAUAACCGAACGAGUGUUAAGCGAGACCAUGGUUUACUAUCAGUAAACAUUAUGAGACAUUGGUACGAUGAAGACCCAUACAUUUUGGCAACAAUGGCAAAACAAAUAUUCUAUCUAGACGACCCUAAAGCUGGCAAUGGUUGGAAAGUUGUUCAAAAGAUUGAUCGAAGAGGGCUAUAUGAUAUUCCAUAACAAGAUCAUGAUGACAAUUACGAUAACGUCGCUGACCAACAGUUAUCAUCUUCGAUAGAAAUUGGUGAAGAAACACUCCGGGAUACUAAUAUUGUCCAAGAACCGUUUGACGUAGUUGGAUUUCCUGAAUUCGAAAUAUCAAUUGACCUUGGUGAUCUACCUCAAUACAAUGCAUCGGAAGAGGAAAACGAAGAUGAAGACAAAUGGGAAUCCGGAAAUGAUAGUAGUGAGGAUAGCGAGAGUAAUUAUUGUAGUUCAGAUGAUGAUUAAUAUAAACUUGUAAAGAAAAAUCGUGCUUUUUCGUUUAUAACCGUCAAAAAGUUUUGUCCCUUUACAUAAUCUCUGAAUGUUUGUUUUUUGCAAUUUUUGGCGUCUGCGAUCUCGAAGCAUAUACAAACAAGUUUGACGGUUGGAUAGUUGAAAUUAGUUUUGUACAAUGCGUUUCCCAUCAAGUUCAAUGGUAUAUAUAUUUACUAAGUUGAUUUUAAUUUAUUUAUUUUGUACUUAUAACACUUAAGAAAUUUAAUGAUAUAUAUGUAAAAAAAAAAUUAUUGUGAGUUUUUGUUAGAAAAAUAUAUUAUUGUGGGGUUUAUGUAAAAUAAAUUUGAAUUUGAAAGAAGUAAAAUCACAUUUUUAGUAAUUUUUAUAAUAUUUAAAAAAAAAUAAAAUAAAAAAACCUUGCGCAACGUCUUAAUGUAGUCGUUGAGCAAAACUACUUUGCGUGACGUCAAUUUGUAUACCUACGUCGCGUCAUGUGAUAAUUUUGGCGCUCUAAUAGUGAAAAAUAGGCGUUUGUUUUCAAUUUUCCAAGUUUGGCAAACUUUUGAACCCCAUAGAUCUCUCUCUUCCCGUAUACCUCUCUCUUCCCACUCGCUCUUUCUUUCCCGCACGUAGACAUGCAUCUCUCCCUCUCGCUCUUUCUUUCCUGUACGUAGACCUGCAUCUCUCCCUCUUUCUCUCUCUUUCCCGUAGACCUCUCUCUCCUCUUCGCAACCUUCAACCCCCAAAUCUCAAAGCCGACGCGACGUAGGUUCCCAAAAUCAAGGUAAGGGUUUCUCAUUUUCGAUGGGUUUUUGUUAUUUAGGGUUUAGGGUCAAAUUGCAUGUUGAUUUCUGAGUACUUUGUCGAAAUCUCCAGAUAAAAUUGGAUGUUGGUUCUGAUUUGAUAGGGUUUCAGAUUUGUGAUGGUUUGAGGUUAUGUGGGUCUGUUGAUUUUGUUCAGUUGAUAGGGUUUGAGGUUCUGAUUUAGCACAGUGGUGGGUUUUCUCGAAGAACCUUAAAAGCAUGAAUCCUUACUCUGUCGUCCCUGGUACAAAAUUUCAACUUAUUUUUGUAUAUUUCUGAACCAAAUAUAUAUAUAUAUAUAGCAUCUUGAUCUUCUUCUUCACAGGGCAUGUUCAUCGGCUGUGAGGUGGUGGUUAUCUGUCAGUCUCCUGGUGAAAUUCUCAAUCUUUCUCUCUUAAUUAAGUGUUAAUCAUAGCUUUUAAACUGUUUUUCUUUCACUCAUCAGUCAUCACAUCCACACUCAGCUCAUCCUUCUCCAAAUUAAACUCAUUUUCUGGGUUUUUUUUUCUUUCAAAAGGGAAAUCUCAGUCACAAGGACAUGUAAAGUUCAUUACCCGUAAAUUUCAUUUGGUUUUUGUUACAAAUGGAACAGGAAUGGCUUACUUGCAAUUUAGGACUUGUAAUUUGAUAAUAAUAAAAGAAGGACGUCUGUUUAUUGAGAGAUGCCUAGGACUGGUUUGAUGUUUGUCAACGAAAGUAAGCUUUGAAUUUCAGUAGGCGGUGCUACCAAGCUUCGAACUUAAUUUGACCUACCACCAUUUGUUUUACUUCGAAUUAAAACAUGGAGAGAUCCUGCUAUAGAUUUGUAAAUAUUAUGCUAGCAAAGUCUUUUGAGCAUUAUGAUUUUCUUGUCCUGUAGCAGCAUAAUAAUGCUCAUAUAUGAUGCUAACUGUUACAUCCCAGACUCAAUCGUCAGUUAAUUAUAUUAUGAGUGAGUUCGGGAAUAACAUGAACCUAAUAGGUAAAUACCUCAGAAAUUUUCCUUUUGCUUAUUUAAUUGGCAUUGACUUGCAUAUAGUAUUCAUGCAUGUUAGAUGUAUUCUGGAAUAUCUUGUUCUUUUAAAUAGUUGUUGUGAAAAACCUGUAUUCUUGUUCUGAAGAAUGAGCCCUGCAUAUGGCUUUUCCAGAUUUGUAGGAAGUGUUAACUUUUCACAGGGGAUUGAAACUAGAAAACAUUUGAUGCACAUACUUAUAUAUGAUAUGCCUGAUUGCUUAACCCACUGCCUCAAGCUAUUACGGUAUUACCUUAGAUGAGAAUUUUACUUGAAUAGACUUAAGCAGUGCAGGACCCGACCAUUUAAAUACUGUACUUUUGAGCAGUUGCAUUAUAACCCACAUAUCCCAUGUAAAGUUUAUUCUAAACCUUUCAUGAGGUGGAACAAAUUAGUGAAAAAAUCUAUCAUUUUUGCUCACAAAAUACACAUACUGCCACAGUUUAACUAAUUUGAUCCUUAUAUAGUGAUUCUCUUUUAGGGUUUGUUCAGAUGCAAGAAAGGAUUAGUUUAAAUAUUCUUGUAUUGAUAUUAUUGCUCUAAUUACUUAUAUUACUUUGGUUGCUAUUUUAUUAGUUUCAAAUGCAAGAAAUGAUUAGUUUCUAAUGUUAUAUUUGUAUGGUUCAUAAAGUGUAUAGAUGUCGCAGUUGAUCACUCGUCGUCGGAGUGUGUCCAAUGCAGCUCCUGCAUUAUCAGCAUCUAGUGCUCCAGGUGUGAGUGCUCCAAGCGUGAGUGCUCCAUUGAUUGGGGAGCCUACACCCCUUACGGAGGCUACUCCUACGACGUCCCAGGUGCCCGUAUCAUCAACGUCAUCAGUGUCAGUUCAACCCCUCAGUGCACGGCGGCCUCCCUAGCGCCGCCGCGAGCCGGAGCCUUCUGAUCACACUUCCUUGUCCUCCAGAGUCGAGGAUGGGGCCUCCCAACCAGGUAGUUUUUUUUCUAAUUCUCACUACGUUGCAUUUUUUUUUCAUUUCAAAACUAUUACUUUUAUGAUUGUGAAAAUGUGUUGCGGGUUGUGAAUUACUGUUUUAAGGUACUUUUAUGAUUAGGGGAGGUUUUGCCGAAUUUUUUGUACAAAUUUAAGCUUAGGGUUUUUACCAUUAAAGUUUUUUUGGGUAGCUAAAAAAAAACACCAAGGGGCCCAAUCGAAUGUUGAAGGAGCUACAGCUUGUACGUAUGUCUGCCUCCUUGAUCAAGAUUGCGUAUGAUGAGCGACAUUGUGGAGCGGUUACCUCACAGCAGCAUAACAGCGUCGUUAAUUGCUGUGGUUUUAUUAUUAGGAAUUUUUGUCCUAUGCGGUGGGAGAGUUGGGCAAAAAUUCCCGAUGAGACGAGGACCCUGGUGCGAGAUAAUUUGGAGGUUAGUAAAUUAAUUUUUAGCAAAGUCAACAUCUUUCUCUGCUUAAACUAUUGCAGGGCCAUCAUCUUGAUUAAUAAAGUCAAGAUCUUUCUCUCAAUUUCUGUUUGGUUGCUAAGAAAAUGUAGGGGGGAAAGAGAAAUCAGGUGCAUUUCAUUGUUUUGCACCUGAUAGCCGAGUGUUGUUGUGGUGAAUAAUUUGGUCAUGUAUUUUGCACACUCUUCUUCUAUUCAUAAUUGGGAGCAGGUGUGGUCCUUUAGUUUUGGUUAAUUUCAGUGAUUUGCGGCACUGUUCUUUGUUGUCUGAAUGCUUCAUGGGAAGGAAAUUGAAAAAUAAUUCCGUGAACCAAUGUUAAAAUAAUGAUUAUGUUGGUUAGGUGGAAGGAUUACUAUCUUAUCUGAUGCAUAUUUAUGGGUUUUUAGUUUUGGUCUACGUCCUUGCUUAAUGAUUUAUGAUAGUGUUUAAGUGAGUAUGCAUGCCGUCUCUAGUACAUUGCUUUGCUUGUGUUGUGCAUCAGUUAACCUGAUCCAUAGUAUCCACUGGUUGAGCAACAUCGUGAUACCUAAACAUUAUGCCUAUACAUGCUGUUUUGUUUUAAUCAUUAAGUGCUUCUUGGGACUGGCUAUACUAAUCAAAUAAUCUAUCUUUUACCGAGCGAGUCCUAUGUAUGGUUCUUGACUUUGCCUCAAUUUGAUAGUGAAUUGUUUUUAGUUGUUGUCCUGGUUUUAUUUAUUAAAGUGAACUACGAAAGCAGCCUUAAAUAGUCGAGUUAAAUCCUUUGUUGAGAAAUUGUGCUAAGGAAAGGAAUUUGAUAAAUAAUUUGAGUGUUAACCUUAUGGUUUGAACAUUAAAGGUUUGACACUUGCGUGAAGCUGAGGUUUGACACUACUUUCCGAACUAGUAUGAAUGAUCCUAUAUAUAAAAAUUGUUUAUAAUUUUGUAAGCUUCCUGUAUAUUACUGUAACCACUUUCUACACAUUUACUUACCUUCUUAUGAAGUUUUUCUUCGAAUCUGCUAAUAUUUGUUGGGUCAUUUAGAAAUGACAUGCUUACUACAUGCUAUUCUUAGUGGGUUGCAGUUGGACAAGAGUCUCAUAAACAUGUUACACAAUUUGAUUUCUGUAGUUGCAGCAGCAUAAUUUUCAUUCUGUCAGUUUUACUACUUCUGGAUUGUAAGCACAACCAGUUUAAACAGGCAUGAUGUUGUAAAUUACUUUAACGAAGCUCACAUCUUAAGGGGUAAAUUGGUUUUUGGUUGUAAAAAUUAGAGCAUGUCCUUAGUAACAGCUAUUUGGAAGCCAACAUGAUUAACUGACUGUUAAAGUGGGAUAUGAAAUGCUUGUAUGCAAUAGGUUACCUUUAUGGAAUUGCAUUAAAUUGUACAUGCAUGACUUUUUUUUUCUUUUUGGGUAAAGUAUAUAUAAUAGUAGUUGGCUUACAUCCUAACAAAUCAUUUAACAUGCUACUGGAAUAGUUGAUCUUGAGUUACAGUCAGUGCAGUUACAACCUCUCUAUAAAAUGUUGAAUUUCCACCUUUGGUCUCUGUACCGGUGGAAAGAGGCUCACAUGGGAGAUCAAAACCCCACUCUUGAGAUCUUUCAUAAUAUAAACAUUAUAUUGUUUGCUUCCUAACAAAUUAAGAUUCUAGUUAUUAUUGUAAACCGACAAACUUUAUCAGUAUCUUAUAAACUAGUUGUCAAUUAUUCUGAUACAUGGUCAUUUUGUUUGUCAUUUUGUUUUUCAUAUUUGUAGGUCGUUUUUGAAAUGGAGGACAUAUCCCCUGAGGUCAGUGCCUACUUAGAGGAGACCUUUGCAAGCCGGUACAAAGAUUGGAAGAGCACUCUUCACAAGCAUUUUUAGCUAUGGGAAUCUCCGGAGAUUGCUCGCCUACAGGGUUGCCCACUCGAGUAUAAGGAGCGGCGAGAGGAUUGGGAGUGGCUCUGCACACAUUUUACGGAUCCAAAAUUUGUGGUAUGUACAUAAUACUUUAAUAAUAAUUUAUUGUUUUUGUUAUUUCAUUUAAGCUUUUUUUAAUAAUUUCUUUCAAAUAGUCGCACUAACAUGUAUAUUGUAUGUUUAACAGAAUAAAUCUGUUGUUGGCAAGAAAGCUCGGGACUCAAAGACACUUCUCCACCAUUCCAGUUCGAAGCCCUUUUCGUAUAGGGUUGAGGCACGACGUGAGGUAAAAGUAUAUUAAUUUUGAAAUUUUAUACAAUCUAUUUUUUAUUAUUGAUUAAUAAAAUUUUCUUAAUGUUUUUUUUUUCUUUAGAAGGGUUCUAAGUUCCCACAGAUUGACCUGUUCAAGCAUGUUUACGUUCAUCCCAACAAUGAGAAUAGUGACCAGCUUUAUGUAAGUAUAUGUAAUUGUUAUUUUUCUUAUUUUUAUGAAUCGUUCAAAUAUUAUUUAUAUUUUGUUAUUAAACAUAGUGGAAAAGAGCACUGCUAUUCUCCAAGAAGCAACAUCGCAGCUUCCCCCAAAGACCCCGAUCGAGGACGUCAUUGUACCCAAGGAUGCAAAUGUUCAGAUCGUGACUGAGGUCCUGGAUCAGAAGUUCGGUCGUCAUCAUGGUAAGGUUGUUAGGUGUACGGGGAAGGCGGGGGUUCGUGAAACGGGUGCCUCUUCUUCCAGAUUGUCCACAGGAAAGGUCAAUUCCUUGAAGGAGGAAGUGACAACCCUAAGAGGUCAGGUUACGGCCCAGGGCGACCACAUUAGGGCCCAGGACGAGAGGAUGAAUAUGAUUGUUCAGGCCUUAGCGAUGUCUGGCCUCCAAAUCCCGACGAUGCCAACACCUAAUGUUGCUCCACCUUCGACUUCCCAGCCACUUUACCCAGAUGAUACCGAGUAGCAUGAUGUAUUAAACUUAGAAGACUUGUAGUUUUUUAAUUUCUUGUUCGGACAAACGUACAUUUUCAUAUAUUCUAUAAUUAAUUACUUUUUCUUGGUUUAUUAAUUAUUGUUUAGAAUUUAAUUAUAAUAUUUAUUAAAAAUUAAAUAAAAAAAUAUAAAUGACAAAAAAAAAGGUUUGCGCUACGCAGUGCCUACCUACGUUGCGCAAAGCUACUUUGCGUGACGCAGGACCUACGUCGCGCAAAUUUACUUUGAGCGACGCAGUGCCUACGCGACAUAGGACCGUCGUCGCGCAAAGUCAAAAAUACGUCGCCCAAAAAUUAGCUAAACGAACCUUCAUCGCGCAAGAACCGUCGCGCGAAGGUAGUGAAGGAAGGGUUUGUGCGACACAGUGCCUACCUACGUCGCGCAAAGCUACUUUGCGUGACGCAGGACCUAUGUCGCAUAAAUUUACUUUGAGCAACGCAGUGCCUACCUACGUCGCGUAAAGCUACUUUGAGCGACGCAGGACCUACAUCGCGCAAAGUAGCUUUGCGCGACGUAGGUAGGCACUGCGUCGUACAAACCCUUCCUUCACUGCCUUCGCACGACGGUUCUUGGGCGAUGAAGGUUCGUUUAGCUAAUUUUUGGGCGACAUAUUUUUGACUUUGCGCGACGACGGUCCUAUGUCGCGCAAAGUCUUUUUUGUACUAGUGAUUGCUAUAAAGUCAUGCCCUUCGGCCUAAAAAAUGCAGGAGCGACUUAUCGGAGACUGGUCAAUUCAAUGUUUGCCGAACAGAUUGGGAAGAGGAUGGAAGUUUAUGUUGAUGAUAUGCUAGUCAAGAGCAAACAUGCUAACCAACACAUCACCAACCUAUCUGAAACUUUCACCAUUCUGAAGAGGUAUCGAAUGAGGUUAAACCCCAACAAAUGUGCCUUCGACGUAGGCUCUGGCAAAUUCUUAGGCUUCAUGAUAAGCCAACGAGGUAUUGAGGCUAAUCCCGAGAAGAUCAAAGCAAUCAUCGACAUGAAGGAACCGGUAACCUCAAAAGACAUCCAAAGCCUUACUGGCAAGGUGGCAGCCUUAACUAGGUUCAUCUCUAAGGCCACAGACAGAUGUGCUCCUUUCUUCAAAGCAUUUAAGGGAAGUAAAAAGUACAUUACAUGGACUGAUGAAUGUGCUGAGGUAUUCAAGAACCUCAAAGACUACAUGAGUAAAGCCCCUCUGCUCUCCAAACCUGAGGUUGGUGACACUCUCAUUAUCUAUCUGUCGGUAUCAGCUUCAGUAGUAAGUUCCGUUCUCAUUCGAAAAGAUGGUAAUGUCGAACGGCCUGUCUACUACGCUAGCAAGGCCUUACAAGAUGAGGAGACACGAUACUCCAACAUUGAGAAAUUAGCUCUAACAUUGGUCGUGUCUGCUCGAAAACUUCGCCCUUACUUCCAAGCACACUCCAUCAUCGUGCUUACCAAUCAUCAUCUUCGACAAAUACUCCAAAGUCCUGACACUUCUGGGCGAAUGAUCAAAUGGGCAAUAGCAUUGGGUGAGUUUGACAUCUCCUACUAACCAAAGCCAGCUGAGAAGGGCCAAGCAGUGGCAGACUUCAUCGCCGACUUCACAUAUCCUAUUAACAUUGUUUCUACGCCCAAAGAAGUGGUUUCAUUACCCUCGGAAGCUCAGAAAACAGAACCAACAGCCCCAGCAUGGAGACUAUAUGUUGAUGGCUCAUCCAACCAACAGGGUUGUGAAGCAGGACUAGUCCUUACGACCCCUGACAAAGUGGCAAUGAAGUAUGCUAUUCGUUUCAAAGUUAAGGAGUCGAACAAUGAGGCCGACUAUGAAGCCCUCCUAGCAGGCUUAUGUUUGGCCAAACACCUUGGGGUUAAACGAAUUGAUAUCUUCAGUGACUCUCAAUUGGUGGUUAACCAAGUCACCAACAACUUUGACGCUAAGGAUAGCUCAAUGGCAGCAUAUAUGGCACAAACACAAUUGUUGCUCAAGCACUUCCAGUACCAGAUCACCCAAAUUCCUCGAGCGGCAAAUAGUCAUACAAAUGCUUUGGCUCACCUCGCCUCAGCGGUGGAAGACAAGAUUGGGAGAAGAAUUCAGGUCGAAUUGUUGGCAGCACCAAGCACCAUGGUUGCGGAAGUGUGCAACUUACAACAGGGGGAUAGUUGGAUUACCCCGAUUUAUAGAUUCCUUACUCAUGGCACCCUUCCAAAUGACAAAGUCCAAGCUAAGCAAAUUCGAUACAAGGCUACCUGUUACUUGAUCAUUAAUGAUCAACUUUACAAGUGGGGUUUUAACCUACCAUACCUAAGAUGCCUUACGCCCGUAGAGGCGAAAACUGUCCUUCGGGAAAUACAUGAAGGAGUCUGCAGAGAUCAUGCUAGAUCUCGAUCCCUAGCACACAAGGCUUUUUGCCAAGGAUUACUGGCCGACACUCUACCAAGAUGCCAUCAAAAUAUCCCGCUCAUGUGAUAAGUGUCAACGCAACGUAAUUAUUCCUCACUCCCCUCCCGAGCAGCUCACUCCUAUGAUCAGCCCUUGGCCUUUCGCCCAAUGGGGACUUGAUUUGAUUGGCCCAAUGCCUGCAGGGAAGGGCAAAGUUCGCUAUGCAAUCGUUGCAGUUGACUACUUCACAAAGUGGGCCGAAGUAGAACCCUUAGCAACCAUUACUAAGGCAAAAAUAGAAGACUUCGUAUGAAAGAACAUCCUUUGCAGAUUCGGCAUUCCCGAUGCGAUAGUCAUUGACAACGGGCGACAGUUCAACAACAAUAAGUUCAGGAUGUUCUGCUCUAAGUUCAACAUCAACUUAUGUUUUGCCUCCCCAGCUCAUCCCCAGUCUAAUGGACAAGUUGAAGCUAUCAACAAAAUAAUCAAGCGAACUUUGAAAACCAACUUAGACAAGGCUAAAGGUUGUUGGCCAGAAUUUGUACCCCAAGUUUUUUGGUCAUACCGCACUUCGUAUUAGACAUCAACACGAGAAACCCCAUUCUCACUUGCCUUUGGUACAGAGGCAGUUGUCCCAGUUGAGCUUGAAUAAGCAACAUUUCGAGUCCAGAACUACGUGCAAGGCGAAAAUGACAAACAACUUACCCUCAACUUAGAUCUAGUUGAGGAACACAGAAACCAGGCUCACUUGAGGAAUGUCGCCUACAAGCAGCGCAUCUCCAACUACUAUGACUCAAGGGUCAAACCUCGUUCUUUCAAAGUGGAGGAUUGGGUAUUAAAGAAAAGAUUACUCUGCGACAGAGUCCCGAGUGAAGGAACACUUAGUCCAAACUGGGAUUGACAGUUUAAAGUUGUUGGCAUCAGUCACCCUGGCUCCUACAAGCUUAGAAGCUCCGAUGGCAAGACCAUUGGCCAUCCAUGGAACGCUGAUCACUUGAAGUACUAUUACAAGUAAACUCACAUUGUACAAGUGUUAAGCUUCAACAGUUCAUCAUCCUAUGUAACGAAGACUAUUUGGCAUGAAUUCAAUAAAGAGGUGAUUUAGAUAACUCGGUCCUAAUCCUCUUACAUUCCUAGCAAUGAAACACUCGGGCCCAAAGCUUCAACUCCAAAGCUUCACUUACAAAAGCUUCAACACAAAAGCUUUACCCACAAAAGCUUCAUCAUUUGAGGACAACUACGAAUUCUCAAAAGCUUUACACUAUCUUGAUCAAGAUAGUGUGAAGCAAAAUCAAUUCAUGGUACCCAACAAAAGCUUCAACUCCAAAGCUUCACCUACAAAAACUUCAACAUAAAAGCUUCACCCAUAAAAGCUUCAACACAAAAGCUUCACCCAUAAAAGCUUGACCCACAAAAGCUUGACCCACAAAAGCUUCACCUACAAAAGCUUCACCCACAAAAGUUUGACCCACAAAAGCUUGACCCACAAAAGCUUGACCCAUAAAAGCUUGACCCACAAAAGCUUGACCCACAAAAGCUUGACCUACAAAAGCUUCAACACAAAAGCUUCACCUACAAAAGCUUCACACUAUCUUGAUCAAUUCAUGGUGCCCAACAAAGCUUUAACCUCAAAGCUUCACCUACAAAGCUUCAACACCAAAGCUUCACCUACAAAGCUUAAAAAUAUAUAUAUAUUUUUUCAGAAAUUCAAAAAUUCAAAAAUUCAAAAAAAAAAAUUCAAAAAUUCGAAGAAAAAAAAUUCGCCUAGGUCUCCUCUUCUUUAGGCCUAACAACUUUCAUAACAAAUAUAUAUAUGAAUGAGGAGUUUUGGGCUACCAUUUAAAAAGGAAAUGCCACAUUCGUCAACUCCCUCGACCGGAGACUUGGGGGACACCUACCAUAUGCUACUGCACCUUGAUAUUCAGAAGUCUCACGACCACUCAGUGACUUGGAUUUUUCAAGUCUCCAACCGAGAAGUUUUCCUCACUCGGGAAAUUAAGGAAGUACUACCUCAACAUACAUGUUUCACUCUCAAAGCUUCAACAUACAAGCUUCAACAAAAGAAAAAAUUCAAAGAACUUAGUGAAGAAGGCCUUGGUGUAUUCAACACAAUACGUUGAAAUGAAGCAAAGCUUGUUUAUUGAUAUCUUCGAUAAGUUACAAAUAUGUAUAUAUACAUGAAUCAAAAUAAACAAACAAGAGAGAGCCUUCACAAAGGUUGCUCAUGAGAAGUCUCAGCAGUCGGCAGAGCCCCAGAAAGAGUAGGCAUCAGAAGGUGAUCAUUCGGAGCCUCAGUACUGGUAGAGAACCCUAGAAGGAGGAGGCACCAAAGGUUGAUCAUUCGGAGCUUCAUUACGUGGUACAGCCCCAGAAGACAAAGGCAAUAAAUGCCUUUGGAACAAACCCACAAACCUCUGAUUAUCAAGCAAAAUCUGACCAUCAGAUUCCUGCAGCUGGUCAAGCUUCAUCUUCAUGUUUGUAGUAUAGUCAUGUGCGAGCCUGUGCAACUGUUUAUUCUCAUGCUUGAGCCCUCUGAUCUCCUGUUUGAGACUUAUCACUUCAGCCGCCAAUUAUUCAACUUGGCGGGUUCAAGCAAAUAGGUGUUGGGCCAUAUUAGACACAGAACCUGCACACUGAACACUGAGAGCCAGAGAAUCCUUAACAGUCAACUCAUCAGACCGUUUGGAAAUUAGUCUGUUAUCUUUAAGAGUGAGAAGGUUCUUGGCCACCACCGCAGCGGUUAUAUCAUUCUUCAUCACAGAGUCCCCAACGGUAAGAGGACCAGUAAGGGAUAAGAAGAAUGGGCGCCAUAUGUUGUCUUGAGAAGGCAUGGCUGCCUCUUCACCAAAGUUCAAGUCAAAACGACGGUCGGAAGGGCCAUACAUUCUCAGAAAUGAUGAAGGAGAAAUGAGGUGCAAUAAAUCUCUGAAGUAAGGGGAAAAUUCAUACAAGCAAUAACUCUCUGAAUGUACUUCUUGCACACAAUUGGUGCCCUUAUAAAAGAAAGGGUAACAAGGCCGUUGGUUCAAAAAUCGAAAAGGCAUCACUCUUCGGAUUUCAAAGAGACACCACUCUCCACACGCAACAUCAGCUCCUCGGGUACCACAGAUAACUUUGCCAAAGAUCUCUGACAAAGUUUAGACAUAUAAAUUUUGAAGGUCCAGCUACCCUACUAUUACUCACAAGGGUAAAGGAACAACACCACUACUUGAUAACUGAAGAGUCCCUAUGUGUGUCAACCUCCGUGCUCCGUGGCAAGGUAGAUUGGCAAAAAUGCCCAACCUUUACUCAUAUUCGAGAAAACACUCCCAAUAAGAUUACUUUCUAAAAAAUUGAAGAGGCACCGCUCUCCGAAUCUCAAGAGCCAGACUCCCAACAGGAUUGUUUUCUCAAAAAUCGAAGAGGCACCGUUCUUCGAAUCUCAAGAGCCAGAUCCCCGACAGGAUUGCUUGUUCGAAAACCGAAGAGGCAUCGCUCUCUGAACUUCGAGAGCCAAAUUUCCUUGGAUAAAGCUUGUCUGCAAUCUUCACACGCAACAUCAGCUUUCCAGAUACCACAUACCACUUUUUCAAAGUGCUCUGACAAAGUUAAAACACGUGAAGCUUGCAGCUCCCACUACAUUGCUACGACCAAGAAGGGUAAAGGAAUAGCAUUAUUACUUGCUUAAAAAUCAAAGAGGCACCGCCAUCUGAAUCUCUAGAGCCAGACUUCCAACAAGAUUACUUUCUCAAAAAUUGAAGAGGCACUGCUUUCCGAAUCUCAAGAGCCAGACUCUCAAUAGGAUUGCUUUCUCAAAAAUCGAAGAGACACCGUUCUCCGAAUCUUAAGAGCCAAACUCCCAACAGGAUUACGUGCUUAAAAAUCGAAGAGGCAUCGCCCCUUCGAAUCUCGAGAGCCAGACUUCCAACAGGAUUACUUUCUCAAAAAUUGAAGAGACACUGCUCUCCGAAUCUCGAGAGCCAGACUUCCAACAAGACUGAUUUCUCAAAAAUCGAAGAGGCACAAUUCUCUGAAUCUCGAGAGCCAGAUCCCCGACAGGAUUGCUUGUUCGAAAACCGAAGAGCACCGCUCUCAGAACUUCGAGAGCCAGAUUUCCUUGGAUAAAGCUUAUCUGCAAUCUUCACACGCAACAUCAGCUUUUCGGAUACCAUAGACCACUUUUUCAAAGUGCUCUGACAAAGUUAAAACACGUGAAACUUGCAGCUCCCACUACAUUGCUAUGACCAAGAAAUGUAAAGGAAUAACACUACUACUUAUUGUUAGGGAUACUCCUAUAUAUGUCGACCUCCAUCCUCCAUAGCCAGGCAAACCUGCAAAUAAAAAAAUGCUCAACUUUUCUUCACAUCCGAGAGGGCACUCUCAGCAGAGUCUCUCGAAAUACUUAGCUUUUUUUCCUCCCGAUAAUAUCUCUACAAACAAGCCACGCCAGAGCAAGAGUAUCUCAUAUCACCAGGGUUAAAAGAAAGAGUAUCCCAUAUCAUGUUUUUUCCCUGUCUUUUCCUUUGGCCUUAUUCUUACCUGCAAGACAAGGAGAAAGAGAGCAAUCAGUCAGCACUUAGAAUCAAGCUUCCAGUCAGGAACUGACUGCCUGGAACCCCUUGCUUGAUUACUUACCUGACAUUGCUCUCGAGUAGUCAUCUUCAACAUCUUAUGCUUCCAGAGAAGAUACCACAUCUGCCUGAGGAACAGAUAGGGCAAGUGAGAACGAUACAAGAAAGCAUGCGAAGACAAGCGUAACAGAACACGUGCCGAUAUAUCCACUACUUUGUCAACAGCAAAAGUAUCUCAUAUCAUCAGGGUCGAAUGUACUCUAGAUUUGAUGGACUUGUUUUGACCCUCAAAUUCUUAAGUUGGCCUUAUACUCUUGAAGAAACCAGAAAACCCUCCAGCCCAGUUUAAGAAUAAGCAUGCGGAAAGUUACUUGUUCAAAAGCAAAAGUAUCUCAUAUCAUCUCUUAUCCAUUUGCUUCUCAUUAUCCUUAGUGCUAUUUACGACAUAAGGAGAAAGAAAACAAUCAACCGGAAGUCGAAGUCGAACCUCCGAUCCAGGUUGCUUACUUGGAAGUCUGAUUGCUUACCUUGUCUGUUACCUCCUUCGGCAAAUCUCCUAGCCUGGCGACUUAGGGGACUCAUACUAUAGGGUUUGUAUCGCACUUGACCAAGCCCGAAACUACAAGUAAGCUUCAAGUGAAAUUGAUACAUUACCUUGUGCAUCUUCAUCGGUUAAAGAUACCACCCCUGGAUGGAGGAAAAGUACUUCCAGAGAAGAUGCCACAUCUACGUAUGAGACAGAUAAGGCAAGUGAAAAUGAUACCACACUUCGGUACUUAGAAGUUUCGUGAUUACUCAAUGGCUUGGAUCUUGCAAGUCCCCAACCGAGGAGCUUCCCUCACUCGGGAACUUAGGGGAGCACUGUUUGUACCAUACUUGACCAAUCCUGAAACUACUAAGCACUGGUCAACGUUAUACCGUCAAGGACCUAGAAGAGUUUCCCUCCAACCAGAAGGCCAAUCACAGUGCGACACGUGUUGACAUCAGAAGCCAAUCAUAGCGCAACACGUGUCAACAUCAGAAGCCAAUCACAACACGACACGUGUCAAUGUCAGAAUGAAACUAGAAACUCUCUUCUAUAAAUAGAGAUCAUUCUCUCACAAUAUUUCCUAAUGUCAUUUGUACUAAAUCAUUCACUAGUACUCACUAAAAGAGAGCUUGAACCUAUGUACUUGUGUAAACCCUUCACAAUUAAUGAGAACUCAUCUGCUCCGUGGACGUAGCCAAUCUAGGUGAACCACGUACAUCUUGUGUUUGCUUCUCUGUCUCUAUCCAUUUACAUACUUAUCCACACUAGUGACCAGAGCAAUCUAGCAAAGGUCACAAACUUAACACUUUCUGUUGUACCAAAGUCCUCACCGAUUUUGUGCAUCAAAAUAGAUUAACAUGUAGCAAGAGAAAAUUGUCAUGGAGAAACGGUUGCCCAAACUUAAGGCUGCAAUUUUGAGUGCUCAGAAGUGCUUGGAAGAUUGCAACUAUGUUAGGGGAUUGGUGAGUGACCAUCAUGUGCAGAGUUAGUCUGCAUUUUUUAGUUGUAUAGUAGUUGUAUAGACAGUCCAUUUUUCUACGUUAGCAGUACAAAUUCUUUUUGUUUUCAUCUUGUUUUUCCUCUCUUUAAUUGUCUGAACUGCAAUACGUUUCUGCAACUUGAUGAAUGGUGGGACUGAGAGAUGAAACCAGAAAUUUUACUAAAAGGGGGCACCUUAAAAUUUUUGAGCUCCUUUUUUAGACAAAUAAAGCUAGUUCUUUUACAAAUGCUAAUUUUGUCUUUAAUUGUUGACAAUAUAAUGCUCAUUUGUACUAAUUAAUCAAGAGAGCUGUUAUUCCCACCCCCAAUGUCUUAUUUUUUCACCCACCUUUUUAUGAAUUUUUUAAUUACAAAUUUGUCAAUUUGUAAAAUGACUAACAAGGACCUUAGUUACCCACUUUUGCAUUACUUUUUUUUUAUAAAAAAUAAAAAAGAAAAGUUUGGGCGUGAUAAUUCUCGCACUAUGUUUAGACGAUUUGUCUCCCUUAAACCCUAACUCAUCAUUCCCAUCUCUUUUCAUUCAGAGAAAGCAAAAAGAAUGAACUUAGCAAAUGAUGUUUUUAUGGAAGAAGUAGAUGAUUAUGUUUCCGUCGAAGAGGUAAAAGAUAAUUUUAUGUGGGUCAUCUUGAUUUGUCGACAUCAUAUAAUUGAAGUAUAGCUCUGUGACUUUUUAUCUCUAAUUAUAUAUAUAUAUAUAUAUAUAUAUAUAUAUAUAUAUAUAUAUAUAUAUAUAUAUAUAUAUAUAUUAAGGGUUAUUAGGAAUAAUAGUGGGUGGGAAAAUAACAUUUUAAUUUUUUACCUUUUUAUAGUGGGUGUAAAUAUAACAUGGGUGGGAAAAUAAGACAACGGGGUGGAUCUAGUAGCUCCCUUAAUCAAAUACAUGCAACUCAACAAGGUUUAGACAUUAGUGCGUGAGAAAAAUAUACAAGACAAAGGGACAUUUAAAAACUAAAAGAGGAUUCUCACUAUUUUAAUAUGAUUAAUUGAAUAAUCCGCAAAGCAAAAAAAUUGGGAAUGAUUAAUUGAAUAAUUUGUAAUGAAAAAAAAAAGGAUGGGAGGGGGCAAGUGCCCCCAAUAGGCCUUACCUCCCUCCGUCCAUGGUAGUGGGACUCCCACCCACCAUAACCGUUGCCCAUCCCUAGGUAGGAGCAACUAGCAGCAACUGUUGUUGACUGGGUCUGAGUCGAUGGAUUAAAUGUUGCUGCAUGGUAUAAUCAUGUGAAGCAACUCCUUGAAUUUUAUGAUCAGGAGCACUUGUGAAUAUUAUUUGAGUACUCAGCAAACAAUAUUUUAUGGGGAUCUAAUUAGUCUUCCUGUUGGCAGUCCCACAUCGGUGGGGGAAGUCAACAAUGGUGAUUUUAAAUAUGAGUACCCUACUUUAAUUAAUAAUGAUGUCUUUUAUGGUAAAACCCCACACUUGACAGAUUAGGCAGGUGGUAAAGUUGUCGAUCUAAAAAUUUCAACAUGGUAUCAAAAACCCAUGAUUAAGGGCAUGUGCAAGCCAAAAGCUUGUCACCAGGAAGUGUGGGAUUGGAAACAAGCUUGGACUCUUAACAUAGAGCCAGUCUCUGAGUUCUUAAGAGGCACUUCUUGAACAGAUUGAAACAAGUCUGGACUCCAUUGGAGCUAACCCUUAAGUUUCAAUUGAUGAUCCUCUUCUUGAAAAGAGUGAAAACAAGUCUGGACUUCAUUGGAGCCAACCUCUAAGUUUCAAUUGACGAUGUGUGGAUCUCUAUAUGUGAACCACUAAAUGGGGUUACAAGUGAGGGGGCAUGUUGGUAGUCCCACAUUGGUGGGGGAAGUCAACAAGGAUGGCUUUAAAUAUGAUUACCCUACUCUAACUAAUACCGAGGUCUUUUGUGAUAAAACUCCACACCUGACGGAUUGGGCAAGUGGUAAAGUUGGGGAUAGUAUCGGUAUCAUUUUCUUGAAAAGAUUGAAAACAAGUUUGGACUUUAUUGGAGCCAACCUCUAAGUUUAAAUUGAUGAUGUGUGGAUCUCCACGUGUGAACCACUAAAUGGGGUUACACGUGAGGGGGCGUGUUGGCAAUCCCACAUCAGUGGGGGAAGUCAACAAGGGUGGCUUUAAAUAUGAUUACCCUACUCUAACUAAUAUUGAGGCCUUUUGUGGUAAAACUCCACACCUGACGAAUUGGGCAGGUGGUAAAGUUGAGGACAGUAUUGGUGUCGUUAGGGGGCUCCUCGAGCUCGUUGAUCUAAAAAAUUCCAACACUUCCUGGAUCAUAUUUGCCACUUCUACAAAGCCCUUGUUUCAUUCAUUCUCGCAUCGCUAAAAAAACCUACAAAGGCUUAGUAGAAACUCAAGCUCAAAUUUAUGCUUGAAAGGUAAAUUUAUUAUCUCUUAUUGGUCGGGCCACUUUUGUUCAGUCUGUCACCUCCGUUGUCCAGUAUAUGCUUUGCAGACAAUAUUACCAAUUACCAUUACAGAUAACCUUGAGUGUCAAAGAUUUUUCUAAGGCAAGAGAAGUUUGGCAAAAGUUGGAAAGUAUAAACAAUAGUCAGACCACAUUGAUUUUCAUGAUUGGCUUCAUUUUAAUCUCACCACUAAUCACUCAUAUUGGGGGGGGGGGGGGGGGGUUUAGAGUAGAUGUUAGUAUUUUCCAUUGCUUGUUGGUUUAUUUGGUAUUGGCGAAAUAAAUUUGUUUUCGAGCAGGAUUUUGCAAUGUUUGAUGAGCUUACAGUCGCUAUUUGUGCAUAUUUUCAUGAAUGGUUAGCAUUCUAAUACUCACAAGAUUGAUAAACGCCGUAAGAUUGAAUCUUUGCUCCACUGGAAAGCUCUUCAUUCAAAAUUGAUUUAAACUUAAUGUUGAUAGUUUUAAGAAGGAAAAUAAUAAUCCUUACAUAAAUAACUGGCAGCCGUGCCAGAGGCAAUACGUGUAUGGAAUCAUAUACUGAGGAUAGGGUAUUUGGAAAACAGUCCAUUUCUAUUGAGCCACAACGAAGGGAGUGCAGAAAUUCACAGUUUCGUUUUUGGAUUUAACAGAGAGAUAAUGGAAAUUUGGUUUUUGAGCUUAAACCUAACGAACUUCACCAAAAGGGUUUAAAACCGAAUUUUUUUUACCACAUGGCUAUCUUCAGAAUACCCUAUCAUCACGAGGACUAUUUAUACGUGAACUUUCUUCAUUGAACGUGAAUAUCACAUGCUAAAACUUCUCUUCAUUGAACUUUCUUAAAAGCAAAAAAUACUAAUCGACUCAACACCUACUUGUGCAGAUAUUGGCUAAACCAAACAUUAGAUGUGAAAAAUUAGCACUUUGCCAAAUAAUAUUCCGAGUGAGCAAAAGAGAGAAAAAUAUAACAAUGGCACACAGACAAAAUAUAAAAGUUGAGGAGCCGGGUGAUAUAAUAUUAGACAUUGCAAUUGUAGGCUCGGACGACUUAAGGAGAAGAAGGUUGCCUGCACCACUAUUAGGAACAUUACAAAUCAACAUUUCAGAGGUAACAUGCAUGGUCUUCUCUUCUGCCAUGAAAAAUUCAUGCCUUCAUAUAAUUAAUUAAUUAAUUAACUAGUUAUUAGUGUUAAUUAUCUAGAGAGCACUCUCUAACAUUUCCAUCCUCCAUCGUUUUCUUCUUCUUCAGAACAAAGUUUCAAUCAAUUUUUUUUUUUAAAAUACCUUUUACUUUAACAAUAUUAGCGAUUAGUUUUAGGUUGCCUUUUAAUUAGCUCGUGUGCUUCUGUUGCAGGGCGUGUUCGAGGAAAAAGGGAGCAUACUUGAACCAGCAGAGGCUGUGGUAGCAUCUAUGAAAAAACUUUAUGAACUCUUUGUAGCGAAACGACGUAGUUUGACUCGUUUCAUUUUUAAAUUUUUGUUUCCUCGGGUGCAAAGCAAUGUUGUUUGGCUUGGGUUAAAAAAAAAUAAAAAAAUAUAAAAAUAUAAAAAAAUAAAAAAACUAAAACGGAGCAACGCCCUGUUAGCAGUCCAGAAAAGCAAUGACUUUAAAUAGGAAUACUCCACUGUAACUAAUACCAAUAUCUUUUGUGGUAAAUACCAAUAUCUUUUGUGGUAAAACCUGACGGAUUGGGCAGAUAGUAAAGUUGAGGACAGUAUCAGUGUCGUUAAAGUUGCCCCCCCCAAAGCCCAUCAAUCUAAAAAAUUUCAGCAUGGUAUCAGAGCCCACAGUUACGGGCCUAUGCAAACCAAAGGCUUGUCACCUGGAAGUGUGGGCUUGGAAACAAGCUUGAACUCAACAUAGAGCCAGCCUCUGAGUUCUUAAGAGUCACUUCUUGAAAAAACAAGUUUGGACUCUAUUGGAGCCGAUCUUUGAUUUUCAAUUUCUGAUGUGUGGAUCUUCACGUGUGAACCACUAAAUGGGAUUACACAUGAGGGGGCGUGUUAGCAAUCCCACAUCAGUGGGGGUAAAGAAAAGCAAUAACUUUAAAUAGAAUUAUACCCCACUCUAACUAAUACAGAGGCCUUUUGUAAUAAAACCUCAUACCUCACAAAUUAGGCAAGUGCUAAAGUUGAAGAUAGUAUCGGUGUCGUUAGAGCGCCCCCCUCGGACCUGUCGAUAUAAAAUAAUUUCAACACGCCCCACUAUAGAAAACCAAAAUGCAGCACCAGAGCAAAGGGGUGAAAACCUGGAUUUUGGGAACAAACUUCAGCGACUAGAGGUGCGAGCACACCUCUUUGCGUCUUUGUAGCUUCGCCAAUGCACGUCUCGAUAUUAUUUAUGAGGAGUUCUUGAUAAUUACUUUAAAGUGUUAAUAACAGUCUCUUUCUUAUUCUGUUAGGUCCAGUACACCCUACAAUCUUAAAA
rnacentral:lncRNA from 1 species